rnacentral:lncRNA from 1 species
UCCUUUGGACAAAGGCUUUCCACACAAUCCUAAGUUGCCGUCGAAAGAAGUGUUGUCAAAUGUAGCAAAUUGCUUUCCUUGUGGUAUAGGCCCUGUAAGGUAAUUGUCCGAGACAUUGAAGAAUGCGAGAAAUGUGAGGUCAACCAGUUGUUGAGGAAUCCGUCCUGAAAACUUGUUAUUUGAGAGAUCCAAUGAUUCCAAAUUUGUUAGAUUGCCCAAACAUGACGGAAUAUGGCCUUGGAGAUUAUUGUACUGGAGGUUUAGAACUUGAAGUCCCUUUAAAUUCGCAAUCGAUGCUGGAAUCGCCCCAUCAAAUCUAUUGUUUGAGAGAAUAAUGCCCGCGAGGAUAUCCGGAAUCUUGUUAUAUGUCAUCAUUCGCCCUUUGCUAUUCAUUGUCAUUGAGUAGUCAUAAGUGCUAAGUACAUUAUUGGUCACUUGUCCAUACGAAGAAAGCACAUCUUGCAGAUAUCUUAGCUCACUUGUAUUGACAAUUUUCAUGGCAUUCCAACACAGGAAACUCUUUGAUGGAAGCUUUCCAGUAAAUCUGUUGUCAGAUAGGUCAAUAAUGCGGAGUUUCGAAAAUCCACAACCAGUUCUGGGUUCUUCUAUAAUGCCAUAAAAUGUGUUGGAUCGUAGGAUGAGAACAUUCAAUUUUGGAAGAGUUCCUAACCAAGACGGAAAAGUGUCACUAAUCUGGUUGUUCCCAAGACCAAGAAAUUCCAACUUUGAACAGUUGAUCAAUGAUCUUGGAAUUCUUCCUUGAAACAGAUUAUGGCUUAAAUCAAUCACGCCUAAUCUACUUUCUUUAAUGAAAGUAUUUGGGAUGGUCCCAAAGAAGUUGUUAGCCUCCAAGUCGAGCACUGAAAGUUCAUCGCUGAAAUUGCCUAAACACUGAGGAAGCAAGCCACUUAAGUUAUUGUGAGACAAAACAAGGCUUUCAAGAAUAUUCAAAUUGCAUAUCCACGAUGGAAUUUCCCCUGUUAACCUAUUGUUUGAAGCUAGAUAGUUAACGGUUCCGGGGGGUGGAACUGGGAGUGGUCCUUGUAAAUUAUUAGAGCUAAGAUCAAAAGUCACCGCAUCACUUUUAUNNNNNNNNNNNNNNNNNNNNNNNNNNNNNNNNNNNNNNNNNNNNNNNNNNNNNNNNNNNNNNNNNNNNNNNNNNNNNNNNNNNNNNNNNNNNNNNNNNNNNNNNNNNNNNNNNNNNNNNNNNNNNNNNNNNNNNNNNNNNNNNNNNNNNNNNNNNNNNNNNNNNNNNNNNNNNNNNNNNNNNNNNNNNNNNNNNNNNNNNNNNNNNNNNNNNNNNNNNNNNNNNNNNNNNNNNNNNNNNNNNNNNNNNNNNNNNNNNNNNNNNNNNNNNNNNNNNNNNNNNNNNNNNNNNNNNNNNNNNNNNNNNNNNNNNNNNNNNNNNNNNNNNNNNNNNNNNNNNNNNNNNNNNNNNNNNNNNNNNNNNNNNNNNNNNNNNNNNNNNNNNNNNNNNNNNNNNNNNNNNNNNNNNNNNNNNNNNNNNNNNNNNNNNNNNNNNNNNNNNNNNNNNNNNNNNNNNNNNNNNNNNNNNNNNNNNNNNNNNNNNNNNNNNNNNNNNNNNNNNNNNNNNNNNNNNNNNNNNNNNNNNNNNNNNNNNNNNNNNNNNNNNNNNNNNNNNNNNNNNNNNNNNNNNNNNNNNNNNNNNNNNNNNNNNNNNNNNNNNNNNNNNNNNNNNNNNNNNNNNNNNNNNNNNNNNNNNNNNNNNNNNNNNNNNNNNNNNNNNNNNNNNNNNNNNNNNNNNNNNNNNNNNNNNNNNNNNNNNNNNNNNNNNNNNNNNNNNNNNNNNNNNNNNNNNNNNNNNNNNNNNNNNNNNNNNNNNNNNNNNNNNNNNNNNNNNNNNNNNNNNNNNNNNNNNNNNNNNNNNNNNNNNNNNNNNNNNNNNNNNNNNNNNNNNNNNNNNNNNNNNNNNNNNNNNNNNNNNNNNNNNNNNNNNNNNNNNNNNNNNNNNNNNNNNNNNNNNNNNNNNNNNNNNNNNNNNNNNNNNNNNNNNNNNNNNNNNNNNNNNNNNNNNNNNNNNNNNNNNNNNNNNNNNNNNNNNNNNNNNNNNNNNNNNNNNNNNNNNNNNNNNNNNNNNNNNNNNNNNNNNNNNNNNNNNNNNNNNNNNNNNNNNNNNNNNNNNNNNNNNNNNNNNNNNNNNNNNNNNNNNNNNNNNNNNNNNNNNNNNNNNNNNNNNNNNNNNNNNNNNNNNNNNNNNNNNNNNNNNNNNNNNNNNNNNNNNNNNNNNNNNNNNNNNNNNNNNNNNNNNNNNNNNNNNNNNNNNNNNNNNNNNNNNNNNNNNNNNNNNNNNNNNNNNNNNNNNNNNNNNNNNNNNNNNNNNNNNNNNNNNNNNNNNNNNNNNNNNNNNNNNNNNNNNNNNNNNNNNNNNNNNNNNNNNNNNNNNNNNNNNNNNNNNNNNNNNNNNNNNNNNNNNNNNNNNNNNNNNNNNNNNNNNNNNNNNNNNNNNNNNNNNNNNNNNNNNNNNNNNNNNNNNNNNNNNNNNNNNNNNNNNNNNNNNNNNNNNNNNNNNNNNNNNNNNNNNNNNNNNNNNNNNNNNNNNNNNNNNNNNNNNNNNNNNNNNNNNNNNNNNNNNNNNNNNNNNNNNNNNNNNNNNNNNNNNNNNNNNNNNNNNNNNNNNNNNNNNNNNNNNNNNNNNNNNNNNNNNNNNNNNNNNNNNNNNNNNNNNNNNNNNNNNNNNNNNNNNNNNNNNNNNNNNNNNNNNNNNNNNNNNNNNNNNNNNNNNNNNNNNNNNNNNNNNNNNNNNNNNNNNNNNNNNNNNNNNNNNNNNNNNNNNNNNNNNNUGACACCUAUUUAUGAGAGACAUAAAAAUUCCAAAUUUUUCCAGCUAGUAAGUAAAUCAUCUAACUCUAUCGUUCCGCUAUAAGAAUUUCGAGCCAUGUCAAGGACCAUAAGUUGGGUAAGAUUCCUAAGUGAAGAUGUAAUUUGACCUGAAAAAUUACACUUAGUGAUAUGUAUUACUUCCAAUGACCUAAGAUUUCCAAUGGAACCAAGUAAGUCACCCGAAAAACUAUUCAAUCCAAGAUACAAAAAUUGUAGCCGGGUGAAAUUACCAAUCGAAUGUGAAACUUUGCCCCAAAAACUACAUGACCUCAGAUCUAAUAACUUCAAAGAACUAAAAUUCCCCGUCGACCAUGGAAACUCACCCGAAAAUUUAUUGAAUGAAAGGUCAAGUUUUUCCAAAGAAAAAAGAUUUCGAAUGGAAGUAGGAAUCUCACCAAAAUAUCCAUUUUGUGAAAGGUCAAGUUCUUUCAAAGAACCAAGAUUUCCCAUGGAAAUAGGCAAUUCACCAAAAAAUCUAUUUUGUGAAAGGUCAAGUUCUUUCAAAGAACUAAGAUUUCCAAUGGAAAUAGGCCACUCACUCGACAAAAAAUUUGCAGAGAGAUCAAGUUCUUCCAAUGAACAAAGAUUACCAACGGAAACAGGCAGCUCACCCUGUAAUUCAUUUAGUGAAAGGUCUAAAUGAAGGAGCUUGGAUAGAUUACCGAGUGAGGAUGGAAUUCUUCCUGAAAUUUGUUAAAAAAGAAAAAAGAACACAUUGCUUAAGUAGAAAAUUAAAAAUAAUAAUAGUUUUUACUAAUGAAUUUAACAUUGCAUGUAUAUUAAUUAAGGAGAAAAUAUAUAAAAUUGAAUUACCUUGCAAUUCACAGUUUUGAAGAGAAACAAACAUCGAAGAAGAUAGAUUUGUGAUGUUAUGAGGUAUCGUUGACUGAAUAGAAACAUCACCAAGGUCAAGUGUUUUUAGAUUGCUUAACUUCUCCACUAAAUUUACGAGACUGGGCUUCUGGAGUUCAAGUCUACCACCAGGAACAUCAUUUAGUGAUAAAUCAAGGGACACCAAGUUGGAGAGCUUUAGAAUUUCUGAUGGUAUUUGGCCAGAUAAAGAAGUUCCAGAGAGGUUCAAGUAUGAUAACCUGGAAAGGUUGAUGAUUUCUGGUGGGAUUUCGGAGGAAUUGAAGUCAUUCAAAGCAAGAUUAAGCCACUCGAGAUGGACAAGCUUGAAAAGGCUGCUGCUAGAGUUGAUAGAACCAAAAAGACAGCUAUGGGAGAGGUCAAGCUUGAUGACAUGACCAGUGUUCUUAUUGCAAUGAACGCCGUCCCAAGAGCAGCAAUCAACGUUACCUUCUUCUGGCUUCCAUGAUGCCAUUGUAGGACGACAGUCAAAUUUCCAAGCAUAAAAAUCACCACUGAUGCGGCUUUCUUUGAAUUGCAACAAAGCAGAGCGCUCAUCAUCAUGGCAGAGUGGCAGCAUAGAAGAAGUAGUGACGUUAGCAAUUGUUAAAUUAAAGAAAAUGAAGGGAAAAACUAACCGUAUGAAUAUUGUGAAUAAACAUAUAAAGGAUAAAGCCAUAGUUUUCUCAAAAAUAAAAUUUGUUUAACUUUGUAGAUGUGAAGAAAUUUAAGGAUCUUGGUUUGCUUUUAUAGGCAAAUUGCAGCAAUUCAAACAUUGAAGUCAUUGGACUCUUUUUUGUUUUUUUAAAGUCAACCAAAGUUAGUCUUAAUAAUAUUUAUUUUUUAUAUUUGAUGUGAUGUCAUAAACUUUUACCAUUUCGUCACCACCGAAAAUACGUUUAUAACAAACGUGAGGAUUAAUUUAUUAGUAGAACUCGCAUUAAAUAGGGUUCAUUGACUUUAACCCAUUUGUGUGGAAAUUGAUUAAAUUCCGAAAAUUGCUUUUCAAAAUCGUCCAUUCAUCGCUACCGCCGCUAUUUGAGGGUCUUUGCAUUUAUAUUUGCGGUGUGGAAAUAUGAAGAGACAUCGAUAUUAAUAAACCCGUAGGGCAAGGCAACAUACGAUAAGAUGUUGAUACUUUGAAUAAUAUUUUUGACGCAGUAACGUUGAAAAUUUAAAAUAAAAUAAGUGUUGAAAAAUUAUUAGUGUUUCGUUGACCCAUGACUCGGCUGUUUGAAUCUGAGAUCUUACAACUUGCAAUAUGUUAGGUAUAUUUUUAUUUACUGAAGAUUGUACGUAAGUUUCCAUACUAAUUAAUUCACAUUAAAACUCAAAUCUCAAGCUAAAAAUGGGUCUAAGUAAUGAACCUUGUAAAUGUUCAUGUGAAUUUCCAUUUGUAGUUUGAAGCAAUAACAAUUUUUCGUCUUCAUUUAGUUAAUGAAUUUGCUUAUGGCUCAUCUUGAUAUUCAAAAUAUUCAAUAAUGUAUCAUCCACAGAAUGUGUACUACUCUAAUCGCAUUGGUAGGUACAAGUGUAGUGUUUCUAAGAAGCAUAAUUGCAUCCACAAUUAAUCUCCCUUUAAUUCUUGUCAAAAUUAUAAGUUUACCAUUAAAGGAAAAAAAAAAGAAUGAAUGAAUACAUCAAGACGCUAUUUGGUAUAACGCUCAUUUUCUAACUUAAAGAUAUAUUAUCUAUGCUAUUAUAAAAAAUUGGUGUAAACGAUAAAAUUUGAGUGCAAAAACCAAAAAAAAGAAUUUCCCAAGGAAGAGUGGGCACAUUUUCUCAUUCUUCGUACCAAAGUUGCAUAUGUAUUAAAGCGUUCUAAACUCAUUUAAAAACAAGAAAACGAACGUGGCAGACUUUGAUGACGAAAUCCAACGGCCUCGGUGUAAAGGUUGAUUUUCGUAAUCAAGUCAGCACACGCGUCGCUAUAUGAUUGGUUGGAAUAGUCGUGUGUUAAUAAGGGCCGAUCAAGAUCGCCGACCUUUUUUUUUCCUCCCAGUGGGUUCCGCCAAAUUGAUGAGCCAAGUUUGGCUCUUGGUACUUCUGAAAUCUUUUACACCACAAAACGCAAGAGCAUUUAUUCACUUGAAAAGCCAUACACGCCAUUUUAUUGUCAUUUUUUCCAAAGCACGAAUGGAUGGUCCCUUCGUUGUGCGAUUGAAAGGACAUUGAUACCAAAGAGGAAAAGGAAAAAUUAGUAAACUUAUGCAAUUUAAUUUAUGAAAUUAAUUACAUGAUUUAUUUUAAUGAUUGAUGUUAUUAUGUUAUGAUAUUUCUGGAGAUUGAUUUCAUCUUGUUAAAUAUAUGAAUUGGACAACACAUCGCAUUUAACCACUACCAAAUAAUCUUAGAUGCAAUCGAGCCUUAGUUGUAGAAAAUAGGUGAAAUAUAAAUAUAUGCAUUUUCAGUCCUUGUCACCAUUGUUAUACGAUAUAUGACACUUUAAUUUUGCCUAAAGAUUCAAAAUGUUUUAAAAAAACAUUGGAGUGCUAAAAAUCAAUAGAAGGACUAAAAUACAACAUUUUCACCCUCACGAAAAACCACAAAUUUUUAUAAUUUUAUUUCAAUCCUCAAAAUAAUGAUCCUCAUAAAUCAACUCAUAUGGGUAAUACAUCAAUUUUAUUUUUGUUUGAAAAAAUGAAAACAUAAUUCCAAAGUGGUCCAGACCAUUUGAAAAAAAAAAUGAUAAAUAUUAUUUGGAUAUGAUAUCAACUCAAAAUUCAAACAAAUCUUACAAACAACUGGCGAAAAAUGGUGAAUUCCAUUCCUUGACCGGGGUUUAUUAAAUUAAAGUGCUGUCAUCGUUUACCAAAACCUCUAACUAGCAAUACCCACUAAUAAUAUCCUAAAUAAUUUAGCCCACAUACAUUUAACAUUUAUUUUUAAAAACAAAUCUAACAAUCCAGCAUUUCAUGGACCGCAAGACUAUAUAUAUAUAUAUAUAUAUAUAUACACGCAACUAAACAUUCCUUGCUCCACAUGACCAAACUUGCACCCAUAUGGUACCAUUUCUUUCAAACAUAAAAAAACAAUUGAAAAAGGGGGCCUCACUUUUCAGCUCAAUAAAAUACACUAGAAAGUAUUAUCAGUUACCAAAUCUAACUCACAAUCAUUAAAAAAAGAAAAAUGAUAAACGAACAAAAAGGAGUGAGAAGGACGAUGGAAACGGCAGCACGAGCUGCCGUUUCACGCGUCCUUCUUACUCUUACCAUUUGGCGUUUAAAAUAUUAAAAUAACACUUUAAAAAGGAAAAUGGUAUUGACAUGAAGGACUAAAGGAGAGCACAAAAAUUUGGGUCUAAAAGCCACCUGUUCGUACGUGCAAACACCACACGCACGGACGCAAAAAUCCAGCAAAAAACUCACGCGUCUCCCUCACCAAGCAGCAAGAUUCUCGAUCUCUCUCUCCCAACAUUCUCCAUGUCUCUCUCCCGUUUCAACACUAGGUCGGUCUCAGCUUCGUUCUCCCUCACCACGCAGCAGCACAAAACCGGUCAUUUUCAACAAUUUCUUAAAAAAAAAAAUGAAACAAAAGCCACAACCUUGCAGUCAAUAGUGCUGCCGUUGAUGUGGUUCUGAUAGUUAAAUAGGUUCUGAUAUAUAGUUAAAGAAGAUUUUCUGGACAUGUCUAGUAGAUGCCCUGCUGUUGACAUAAAUAGUUACAGGACGAUAUUGUAUCAGCAAAUUUUUAUUCAUUCAUCAAGUCAUAGUGCAAGUUGUAGCAAUUAGGGAGAGAACCGAUGAGGAUGGAAAAAGAUCCGAGUGUCUUAUUGUCAGUGUUGUAGAUUUUUGUUCUCUCAAAUGGAGUCCAAAUGCUGAAUUCCGCAGCUGCAAAGAAACCCGAACAAUUUCCAUUCCAUGCCUUCUCAAUGGUCAAUGGCCAAUUUGUGCCACUUAUAUGUAUCAACUGCAAAGCUGCCUCUGUUGACGUGGUGGUUGUCGGCACCAAACUCAAAUCUCGACGGCACCGAAUGCAGAUUUCUCAUCUUUUAAAUAGCAAGCCAAUGAUUUUAUUUUAUUUGGCUAUCGAAGUCGAAGUUCUGCCGCUUGGAGAAAGGAAAUGGCCGCAUUAUUUUUAAAGCUGUAGAACAACUGCAGGAGUAGAUCACAGGCCUCCAUUUCUAAACUUUAUUGCGGGCCAUUGCUUAUUUCAUUGACCAUUAUUUUUGCGCCAUUUUUUAACCAUUAUUUUAAUGUAUUUGUGGACCAUGGGGAAGAGUGAGAAGGACGCGUGAAUCGGCAGCAAAUUCUGCCUUUUCUGUCGUCCCUCUUUCUUCCUUAUGGCUAAAUAGCAUAACUCAAAAAGAAACGUCAACACCAUUGGACCUCAGUUUUGGAUCCAUCCCAAUAAAAAACACUAGUCAAUGAAAAGUGAUAUAUCAUCAAGCAAAAUCAGUUCACACACAUGCAAGCUCUGACUAAAAAAUUACAAAAUAUAACAAAAUUCAGGCAAACCAUUGCCAGCAAGCAUUGUUUAAACAUUGAAUGGAAAGGCAAGUAAAGAAUUGAACAAACCUGAUGCUAGAAAUCGAAUUUGAAAGGGAACAAAGCAGUGAAAUCCCGCAAUUCAGAAAAAAAUAAAAAAAAGGACAUAUUAAAUUAAAUGAUUGAGCAAUUUCAAGAUUUAAUAAAAGGACAAAGUAUAAGCUUCUUGAAUUAAAAAAAUAAAAAAAUAACAACUGAAACAAACAAGAAUUAAAAAAAUAAAUAAUAAAGAUAAACCAUUCAUGAUAGAAAUCCCAAAAACAGGGCAUAAAGUAUGAAGAAAUAAGGGAGAUAACAACAAAACUGAAAAUUAAUUUUAUAAAGCUCAACUAAUUUAUUCAAAAUAAAAAAUAAAAAAGCUAAUUGACAAUAAACCUAAGGAUUCAGCAAUUACAAGAAUGGCUUCUCCACCGCCAAUUAAACAAUGCAAAGAAAUAGCGACAACGACGGCUUCAAUAGCGAACGUGUUGUUCGAAGGCGCAACAAUGAGCAUAUAUGGUGAUUUUGUGCUUAAAAUUUUAUAAUGAAGUGGUUGCUUCAAUAGCAUAUACGAUGAUUUUGGUUUCCAUGCAAUGGAUUUCAAAACCAAUUUGUAGAUUAAAGUAGGCACUACUAAAAAAACGCGUUUUUAUGAUAGAAAAUUUAUGAUACAUAUCGAAUUGUCACGAAAGUAUCAUCAAAGAAUGAUAUUUUCGUGACUAAUAUCUUUUUGUCAAACUGUUAUGACAUAUUCGUGACUCAUUUAUUUAUGUCAUUUAUUAUUGAUAAAAACAUGUCAUGUUCUGUUUUUAUUUUUUUAAUCAUUUAUAAAACUUGAUAGGCAUCAAUCACGGGUUCAAACGACAUCGUAUUUAAAUUGAUUUAUUUUACCAAAAUGCCAUUAACAAAAAAUUUUUACUUUAUAAUUAUUAAAAAAAAAGGUUAAACGAUGUCGUUUAAGCGUUAUAGUUUAAAAGAUCCAAACUUUCAACACUCAGAAAAAUUAAGUGUUUCGUAUGUUUUCUUUUCACACGAAUAAACAGCCCUAACCCUUACUAACAACACAGCCCUAACUCAGUUUCAGCCAAAGAAAACGAAACAUUCACAGCCGCCAUCACCUCAGCCUCUCACUCAACUCAUAUCACUCAACUCAUAUCACUCAACCUCCCACUUAAAUCAGCUGUCAUUAUUCGAUUGGAAAAACCUCAGGCCAUGCGAAGACCCAUGGAAGCGGUGGUAGAGCCAACGCGUGGCGGGAUGCCGCGAAUUGAGAUCCAUGACCCGUACAAACUCGAUGGCUGGUCGCAGCAACUCCCGCGACUUCUGGGCAGUGGUGGCGGUCGGAUUUUGAAGGGGUUGUUGUGAGGAGUAAAACUGAGGUGGUGGUUGAGAGAGGUCUGGUGCAACCGUGGGAAGGGUGACUGGGGAGCUUGAAGUGGGUGGUCAAUUUACUCCAUUUCCUUCUUCACCUCCAAGUUACAUUGGUGUUAAUGGGUUGUGCCCUCUUGCAUACUCUUUAUUGGCCCAGGUAACAAAUCUUUAUUUUGCAUUUGUGUUCUUUUAUUGUUGAUUCUAUCUUGCUUUUUGCAUAAAAAAGGGAAAAGUUCUCUAAUUAAUCACAAUGACAAGAAACUCCCGAAUUAUUUUGAAGUUUUCUAGAAGGUAAUGUUGAAACUUGGCUAUUUAAUUUCCCAAAAUCGUUUUAGUUUUGAAGAAAUCCACCGCUCAUCGUUGCUCUGGUGAAGAAGGUAAAGACGAAAAUAACUUCUUUUUUUUUUUUUUUGGAAACUGAAAAUACACUACUUUAUAUAUGAUUGUCUAGGAUUAACAAGGGAAAUUUCAGCAAGAAACUAACAGAAGUAGAUCAGCCAUGGCUUAACACACUACAUGCACAAUCUUGCAGUGACACAGAAAGUCACUAGAAAAACAUUUACUCUUUAACACUUAUUGCUGGUCAACUUAAGCUAACAUAAAAUUUCAACAGAUGCUAAUACUUAUAACUUAGGGGCACUUGGGUUUAUUGCCCCGAGUAGUCAUAUCAGUGUAGCACUUGCCACACUUCUCUCUGUUGCCAUAAGUUCCUGGCCAACAGAAGCAGAGCAGCUCUGAAAGCCAUUGGAAGACAGAACCCAGCCGAAAGAAACGAAGAAGAAAGUUUGAGAAGCUAGGCACUCCCUGCUUGGUGCUCAAGACGAAAAUAACUUGUUUGAUUUUGAAAAUUAAAUCCGUUGCUCCUUAUUAUUCCUUGAUUUAUUGGCUUUUUCUAUUUAUUAUGCAUAGUUAAAAAUGGAAAUUGAUCUCUCAAUGCCUUGGGUUUUGACCUAACUAAAAUUUGGGUUCUUUGAAAUCGAAGUUGGAGGUUAAUUUGGCUGAUUUUGAAUGAUGAAUUUAUCACUGACAAUUCAAAUUGAUUGAGUUCUCUUUGGUAAAUAAUAAUUGGUUAAUUUGACUGAUUUUGGAUGAUGAAUCUUCUUUGCAAUGUUAGUCAUUGCAAUAACAUUGUUUUGAGUUCAUGUGUAUUCUCUACUAUGCAUUUUUCUUCCCAAAAUUUCCAAUAGCGUAGUGCUUGUACUCAAAGAUUGCUUCGCAGGGAUCAAAAUUGCUUCAAUUCAUCUUGCAGCAACUGGAACUUAAACAUAAGCAUGCCAAUACGAUCGGCAGUUUGUUGGACUUUGCUUGGUCGAUGUUGAAGACAUGAAGAUUCAUUUAAAAGUGGGAAUAUUUUCUGACAUUGGGUUUGGUGUUUAUUUUUUAUGGGAAAGAUUGUAUACCAAAUUGUACAAAUGUUUGUUUACUUGAAUUGUUUGGUUGUAAUGAUUAAAUUAUAGAUGCUGAUUUGGAUGUCAAUUAUAGAAUUAUUUUUGGAUUAUUUAUUUAUUUUUUAGAAUUAAUUGAUAUAUUAUUGAAAUGUGCCAAAAUGAUUUUAAAAUAAUUUUUAAUAAUUCCCGCCCAAAUAUUUUGAAAAAUUAAAAAUAAUUGCGCCAAAUUAAAUAUUUAUCACUUUAAAUAUUUUAAUAUUUAUUUAAAAUUUCAGUUAUUCCUUUUAGAUUUAAUAAAAAUAAUUUUAUUAUUCCAAUUAAAUAUGUCAUGUUUAUGCGAUAGACAAAAGUCAUGAAUGGGAAAUGUUUAUGAUAGAUAUUAGUCAUGGGUGAAAAUUUCUCAUCAAGAUACCCAAUGACAGAAUCGUGAUAGAUAAUAUGUCAUGCUAAACAUGACACAUAAAAAUAGUCAAGGAUUUUUCUUGACACCGGAAUCAAUGACGGUCGCUCAAUUGUCAUGCCAUAGGGUGGAUGACGGGUAAUAACCGUUAUAAAGGACUUUUUUUCUAGUAGUGAGGGCUUGUUAAUUAUGGAUUUUGAGGGGUUUCAAUGCUUAGGUUUCUCAGCCCCGAUGGAGUGAUGAAGUCAAAGGAACUGAAGUGUUUAUUAAAAAUUAGAAUUUUCUUGUAGUUUAAAGUCUAUAGUAAACGACAGUGUUUAGAAGUUAAAAAAUAUUUUUAUUUUUAAAAUUUUUUAAAUUAUGAAAAAUCAACACACAGUGCCGUUUCAUGCCCAAAUUGAUCAAUCCUAAACUCACCGUUUCAUUAAAUAUUAAUAUGCUAUCAUAUUUAUAUGAUGUAUAAAAACUAUCACAAAUUUGUCAUGCCUUUAUGAUGUAUGAAAAUUAUGUCACGUGUCUAGCAUAUUCUUAUGAUAAAUGACUAAUUUUCUAAUAUCUAUCACAAAAAUUCUGUCAUGUUAGCCCAUUAUUCUAGUAGUGAGAUAUUUAUCCAACUAGACUACAAAGUAAUUGAAAUUAAUUGUAACACCUAUGGCCAAAACUUGGACCCAGUGUUAUUCUAUAAUCAAAAUUGAAACCUAUAAUUACAGUCAACUUGAAUCUGAAUCAAAUGGGCAAAUGCGGGCAAAUGCCAUCUCUAGGCUCUAACCAUGAAACAAUAAUCAAAUCGUCAGACUUCUAAAAUAAGCCAAUGAAACAUUACUCACAAACCCAUCUAUUAACAUCUUUAAAGCUUUGGCACUGAAACUUAAAAGAGAGUUUUGUGUUAAAUAGUAUUGAAAGUAAACACAACAACAAUUAUAUAUAGCAAAGAUUAGUGGGAAAACAGAUGUAUUAAAAUUGUUCUUGACUCCCAAUUCUGCCAAAAUAAAAUAAAUGAGCGUAACAAGCAACCGGACCACAGAGAAAGAUAUCUCCAACACCAUAAGCGGUCGCUUCUGAAAAUGCAUUCUGGUUGCAGCUCUACUUCUUGUCACGGUACAAGUAUGUGUGUUGAGUAAUGAAAAGUACCAGCUCAACUAUCUCCUCAUCCCUCACCCCGGAACGAAUCUCCCCAGCUGAAUGGCACGAGCAGUGUCUUGGUAAUAUAUCCUGUACGGAGCAUAUGCCAACUAGAGACGAGUACUGACCAGAGGUACAUACCGACCAGAUAAUCAUCACCCAAAGAAAGAGGACACGAUCUCAAGAACUCACGACAGUUUCUCCAUACCCCAAACCGCUGGGGAGAACAUGACAUUCCACGUUUACCCACGAUUCGGCGGUUGGAGACCCAUGAAGGUCUGUCAUCACCCGAAAAUGAGGGGCAUGAAGAAUACUCAGAAAACGUGGGAUGAUUGCCUAUAAAAGCAUAUGUGUUUAUUUAAUUGUAAUAAACAUUUUUUCUGAUUAAUAAAAUUAAUGAGGUAUUUUAUUCAAAUAUCUUAAUUGCAUUAAUAUUUUGAUCAAAGUCCAUUUAAUCAUAUUAUAUGUAUUUAUGUGAUCACCAUGUGGAUUCACAAAAGACAUAAAUAUAAGUUAUCUUAUGAUUAAAUAAAAUUAGUUCGCAGUUGAUAAAUAAAGUUGGGCACUUUAUUUAGGUAUAGACUGUAAUGAAUUCAUUGAAUGAUUUGUCUUAAUCAUGUAUGAAUUUAUUAAUGUAGUACGACUACAUUGAACAAGAUCACAUAUGAGAUUUAUUUAACCUUGAAAUGACUGUCAGACUUAUUAAAUCUCAUAGGCAUUGAUUUUACUGUAAUCUUAAUCUUGAGUUAAUUAUGAUUUCAUGAUUGUAAUUGUUAUUCCAUUUGAGUUACCAAUCGGCACGACACAUUCUUGUGGUCAAGAUUACCCGGUAUCUUGGUGGGAGCAAUUAUGAGUAUUGGAGUUAUGGAUUAACAAUAUAGAAUUUGUACAACACAUCUCUUGAUGGGUUUUCGACACUUGAUCAUAUAAUUCUCUGGCUAGAGUGUGUCAACAUAUUUAGUAUGUUGAAAAUUAUCAUUAGAGAAAACCAGUAAGUAUCAAGGACCAAGAUGUUAUUAAAUUGAUUGGACAGUUGAGAUAUCAAUUUAAUUAACGAUGUGGUACAAAUGAUUGUGCAGUAAAGAAAUCAAUGUGGCUUGGGACGAAUUAUUAUUCGAGCAUACAAUUAUGGAAGUCAGUUCCAAUCUUUUAGUGGAGUAGAUUUGGAAUUAAAUAAUUGGGCUAGUUUAAUUAUAGGCCUAAUUAUUGUAGCCAUUAGUGUAUGUUCCCAAAUGAUCCCCGGGUUAGCUCAUUUAAUUGACUGCACCACUACUGGAUUAAUAAGCAAGAUAACUAGCUAUUUGGGUCAAAAGCCUAAAUAUAUCAUUUAGUGGGAGGCUCCAUUUAAUUAGCUUGUGUGUAAGGGGCCUUAUGUUAUUUUACAAGGUGGGUCCCCUAUAGAAAAAGCAAGUAACGUGAGUUUUGAUUUUGAUAAUUUGGAGCCUAGGGUUUUCACAAAAGGGAGAUAUAAAAAGACUUAUUUUCUCUAAAGAAAGAGAGAGCAGCCACUUUAUACAGAUGAGAGAAAAAGAUUUUUCUCUCUAUUGUUGAGAGAAAAAUUUUCUCGUGCUAGUUGUUUUAGUAGUGAUAAAGGCGCCCACACGUCAAGUGCAGAUCAAACCUGAGUCAUAACCUGGAAGAUCAUUGGUGACAGUUCGUGAUCUAACAAGCGUGGUGGUGAUGGAUUGUGAUCUAAUAGGCGUGGUGGUGACGGAUCGUGAUCUGGGAGCCUAAAUCACUUCAGCGGAAAAAUCUAAAUCGGAUUUUCAAGGUACGAUUUCUAGAUUACAAAUUCUUAUAUAUUAUAUGAGAGCGAUCUUAAAAGGUUUUAUAAAAAAUUAAAAAACUGAAUUUUCCCCAACAGCAUGUUCUAUGCAUAUGUCGUGUCAGAAAAUUAUUUCUUAGUUUCAUAGACAAGAAUGAUGAAGGAGAGAUGUAAAUAUGAACGCCGUUCUAAGCCAACUAAAGUUGAAUUCGCCAUAUCAUUAUAAUGGAUGUUAAUAUUGCUAAUUUGGAGUCAAAGUCAUGCGUUGAUUGCAUUUGUAUUGUCUGUAUGACUAGGUCGUGGCAAAGGCUCAUGGAAUAAAUCUGCUUCUUUUUACUCUUUUCCCCACUACCACCAGUUCACUUAACUUUUCCUUCACGGCAUGCUGAAUGAGAUCUUCUACUCCAUCAGUGCAUUUAGGAUUAGAUUUCUAAUUUGUCCGAUGUCUCUGCAUUUUCUUGAACUCUCUACUCUUCCUCGUGUAAUUAAGGAGGAUUAAAGUAAAAGAAAAGGGUAGAACCAGUUAUCCCUAUUUGUUGCACUAGCUAUUAGAUUUCCAUAUUAGAGUAAUUAUUGGCCAAAAACAUAAUUUUUUAUUUAAAUUGUCAAAAAGACUUGAAUGUUCUCAUCCUAAAAUAAGUUCCAUUAAAAUGAUCAUAAUAUUUAUGGAAUGUUUAUAACUAAGAAUGAGUGCAAGCAUAUCAUAUUUAUUUCUAUUUAGGUUUAUAAGAAUUAUAAGAGGAAAGAAACUCUUUUUUGGAAAGAAUCCUAGUCUUUUAACUACAAUCUUAAUAAUUUUUUUCACAUCAGCCACAUACUUAUCAAACAACAUAUCAUAUUUAAGGCAAGAUUUAUCCAUUUUUUGUUUAGCACAUGACAUAUAAUCGAGACAAAUUUCAACAUAUUGUAGUAAUGGGCAGCAAUGAUAAACGGUUUCCAUUAUCAAUAAAUUAAGCAACAAAACAAUAUUAAUAUUCAGUUUAUAAAUUAAUGAAAUAAAUAAAUUAAAAACAAAAGCUUGUCAUCAUGUGCAACAAAUAUAACUUCACCAACGUGUUGUCAUCGUUUGCCAAAACCUGUAACUAACAAUACCCAGCUAAUAAUAUCGUAAAUAAUUUAGCCCACAUAUAUCUAACAUUUAUUUUUAAAAAAAAUCUAACAAUCCAGUAUUUCAUGGACCACCAGACUAUAUAUAUAUACAUAUAUAUAUAUAAGCAACUAAACAUUGCUUGGUCCACAUGACCAAACUUGCCCCCACAUGGUACCAUUUCUUUCAAACAUUAAAAAGACAAUUGAAAAAGGGGGCCUCACUUUUCAACUCAAUAAAAUACACUAGAAAGUAUUAUCAAUUACCAAGUCUAAAUCACAAUCAUUAAAAUAUAUGUCAACACCAUUGGACCUCAGUUUCGGAUCCUUCCCAAUAAAAAACACCAGCCAAUGAAAAGUGCUAUAUCAUCAAGCAAAAUCAGUUCACACACAUGCAAGCUUUGACUGAAAAAUUACAAAAUAUAACAACCUUCAGACAAACCAUUGCCAGCAAGCAUUUUUUAAACAUUGAAUGGAAAGGCAAGUAAAGAAUUGAACAAACCUGAUGUUAGAAAUCGAAUUUGAAAGGAAACAAAGCAGUGAAAUCCUGCAAUUCAGAAAAAAAAAAAUUUUUAAAAGAGGGCAUACUAAAUUAAAUGAUUGAGCAAUUUCUAGGUUUAAUAAAAGGACAAAGUAUAAGCUUCUUGAAUUAAAAAAAAAAAUUAAAAAAUAACAAAAGAAACAAACAAGAAUUAAAAAAAUUAAUAAUAAAGGUAAACCAUUCAUUAUAGAAAUCCCCAAAAAAGAGGCAUAAAUUAUGAACAAAUAAGGGAGAUAACAAUAAAACUGACAAUUAAUUUUAUAAUGCCCAACUAAUUUAUUCAAAAUAAAAAAAUAAAAAAGCUAAUUGACAAUAAAGCUAAGGAUUCAGCAAUUACAAGGAUGGCUUCUCCACCGCCAAUUAAACAAUGCAAAGAAAUAGUGACAACGACGGCUUCAAAAGGGAACGUGUUGUUCGAAGGCGCAACAAUGAGCAUAUAUGGUGAUCUUGUGCCUAAAAAUUUAUAAUGAAGUGGUUGCUUCAAUAGCACGUACAAUGAUUUUGGUUUCUAUACAAUGGAUUUCAAAACCAAUUUGUAGAUUAAAGUAGGGCUUGUUAAUUCUGGAUUUUGAGGGGUUUCAAUGCUUAGGUUUUUCAGCCCUUGCUGAUGGAGUGAUGAAGUCAAAGGAGCUGAAGUGUUUAUUAACACUUAGAAUUUUCUUGUAGUUUAUAGUAAACGACAACGUUAAGAAGUUAAAUAAAUACUUUUGUUUUUCAAAUUUUUUUAAUUAUGAAAAAUCAAUCCUCGGUGCCGUUUCAUGCCCAAAUUGAUCUGUACUAAACUCACCAUUUUAUUAAAUAUUAAUAUGCUAUCAUAUUUAUAUGAUAUAUAAAAACUCUAUCACAAAUCUGUCAUGCCUUUACGAUAUAUGAAAAUUCUGUCACGUGUCUAUCAUAUUCUUGUGAUAAAUGACUAAUUUUCUAAUAUCUUUCACAAAAAUUCUGUCAUGUUGGCCCAUUAUUCUAGUAGUGAGAUAUUUAUCCAACUGGACUACAAAGUAAUUGCAAUUAAUUGUAACACCUAUGGCCAAAACUAGGACCCAGUGUUAAUUUAUAAUCAAAAUUGAAACCUAUAAUUACAGUAAACUUGAAUCUGAAUCAAAUGAGCAAAUGGGGGCAAAUGCCUUCUCUAAGCUCUAACCAUGAAACAAUAAUCAAAUCGUCAGAUUUCUAAAAUAAGCCAAUGAAACAUUACUCACAAACCCAUAUAUUAACAUCUUUAAAGCUUUGGCACUGAAACUUAAAAGAGAGUUUUGUGUUAAAUAGUAUUGAAAGUAAACACAUCAGCAAUUAUAUACAGCAAAGAUUAGUGGGAAAACAGAUGUAUUAAAAUUGUUCUUGAGAUAGGAAUGACGAAGGACAGAUGCAGGGGCACCAUUUUAAGUCAACCAAAGUUAAAAGAUGAUUCGAACCCAUAGUUGUUGCAUAAAAACCUUUGUUACCUUUACUUUUGUUGUCAAAAUUAUUAUUAAUAUAAUUUUUUUAAUGGUAGAAGUAGAACCUAAUCCCUCACAAUUAUCAUUUAAUAAUAUGUUAAUUACCAAACACUAUUAUUUUUUUAUUCAUACCUAGUAGUGAUUUAAAUUUGAAAAGCGACAAAUCCAGAAACCAGUUUUUAAUAUAUAAUAACCAGCUUAUAUUUUUAUUUUUUGAGGAGAAAUGUAAGGAUCCUAUAAAAAAAAAAACCGCCAACAUUACAAUGACAGAAUUAGAAACGAAAAUCACAAUAACAUUAUAAUUGCAUUCAGUUUCUACGUCUCCUCCUCCUCCUUGUUGCCUUUUGCUGCGUUCCCAACUUCUCCAGAAUCCAUCCGAUAAUUCCUGUGCUAAAGUUGAACCCGACAACCAAUCCUGCCACAAGUCCGCCCGCGUAGCCAAUCAGAAUGAUUUUCCAAUCAGAUGUGCCCGAAAAUAGAGACUCCUCUGAGCCCUUAGUAUGAUCUUCAUUUGCUGGAGCUACAUCACUCUCACAUCCUUUGGACAAAGGCCUUCCACACAAUCCUGAGUUGCUGUCGAAAGAAGUAUUGUCAAAUGUAGCAAAUUGCUUUCCUGGUGGUAUCAGUCCUGUAAGGUGAUUGUCCGAGACAUUGAAGAAUUCGAGAAAUGUGAGCUCAACUAGUUGUUGAGGAAUCUGUCCUGAAAACUUAUUGUUUGAGAGAUCCAAUGAUUCCAAAUUUGGUAGAUUGCCCAAACAUGACGGAAUAUGGCCUUGGAGACUAUUGUUCUGGAGAUUUAGAACUUGAAGUCCCUUUAAAUUCGCAAUCGAUGCUGGAAUCACCGAAUCAAAACUAUUGUUUGAGAGAAUAAUGCCCGCUAGGAUAUCCGGAAUCUUGUUAUAUGUCAUCAUUCGCCCUUUUGAUGUUCAUUGUCAUUAAGUAGUCGUAAGUGCUAAGUAUAUCAUUGGCCGUUUGUCCAUACGGAGAAAGCACAUCUUGCAGAUAUCUUAGCUCACUUGUUGAUGAAGAGUAGGAAUCCAUAUUAUACUAGGAUUAGUUUCCUUAUUAACUAAAGUUUAAGACUUUUAAAUUCCUUUCUAAUUUAGAAUUUUGUUUCCCUUUCAAUUUAGGAUUUUGUUUUUACUUCAUGAAUUAGGAUAAUUACUACUACUAUAAAUAGCUCCCUCUUGUAGUCUUUGAUGGUAGAAUUUUGAGUUUAAUAAUAUUUCAAUUUUCAAAUCUCUUUGUGAGUAUUUGAACAGUUAAUUCUCGGUAUUCUGCAGAAUCAACGAGUCUUAACCCCUAAAUUCGCGGUAUUCUUUUGAAUCAACGUGAAUUUAGUUGUUCUUUUGUUCCGGUAUUCUCUAGAAUCAACAGAAUAUUUUGAACAUUAAAAUUCCGCUGCAUCACUUGUAUUGACAAUUUUCAUGGCAUUCCAACACAAGAAACUCUUUAAUGGAAGCGUUCCAAUAAAUAUGUUGUUAGAUAGGUCAAUGAUGCGGAGUUUAGAAAAUCCACAAUCAGUUCUGGGUUCUUUUAUAAUGCCAUAAAAUAUGUUAGAUCGUAGGAUGAGAACAUUCAAGUUUGGAAGAGUUCCUAACCAAGAGGGAAAAGUGUCACUAAUCUGGUUGUUCCCAAGACCAAGAAAUUCCAACUUUGAACAGUUGAUCAAUGAUCUUGGAAUUCUUCCUUAAAAUAUAUUAUGGCUUAAAUCAAUCACGCCUAAUCUACUUUCUUUAAUGAAAGUAUUUGGGAUGGUCCCAAAGAAGUUGUUCCCCUGCAAGUCGAGCACUGAAAGUUCAUCACUAGAAUUGCCUAAACACUGAGGAAGCAAUCCACUUAAGUUAUUGUGAGACAAAACAAGGCUUUCAAGAAUAUUCAAAUUGCAUAUCCACGAUGGAAUUUCCCCAGUUAAGCUAUUGUUUGAAGCUAGAUAGUGAAUGGUUCCGGGGGGUGGAACUGGGAGUGGUCCUUGUAAAUUAUUAGAGCUAAGAUCAAAAGUCAGCAAAUCACCUUUAUUCGCUGGAAGAACAACAAGAUGCUGAUCAAACCCAGUUAAAAAGUUAUGCGAAAUGUUCAAGGCAUUGAGAUUCUGCAUAUUGGGGUCUAACAACCAUUUAGGUACUUUUCCUUGAAUUCUAUUGUCAGAAAGGUCCAGGACCAGCAAAUGAUAUUGGUUUUGCAAGAAAUUUGGAAAUUUAGUAAGAUUGCAAGAACGCAGUCCUAUAUACUUAAGUUUCUGUGAAGUGGUAUUAGAAGUGGCUUUGGUGAGCACUGACAACCUAUUUAAUGAGAGAGCUAAAAAUUCCAAAUUUUUCCAGCUAGUAAGUAAAACAUCUAACUUUAUCGUUCCUCUAUAAGAAUUUUUAGCAAGGUCAAGGAAGAAAAGUUGGGAAAGAUUCCUAAGUGAAGAUGUAAUUUGACCUGAAACAUUACACUUAGCGAUAUGUAUUGCUUCCAAUGAUCUAAGAUUUCCAAUGGAACCAAGUAAGUCACCCGAAAAAUUAUUCAAUCGAAGAUACAAAAAUUGUAGCUGGGUGAAAUUACCAAUCGAAUGUGGAACUUUGCCCCAAAAACUACAUGACCUCAGAUCCAAUAACUUCAAAGAACUAAAAUUUUCAGUGGACCAUGGAAACUCAACCGAAAAAUUAUUGAAUGAAAGGUCAAGUUUUUCCAAAGAAAAAAGAUUUCGAAUGGAAGUAGGCAACUCACCAAAAUAUCCAUUUUGUGAAAGGUCAGGUUCUUUCAAAGAACCAAGAUUUCCCAUGGAAAUAGGCAAUUCACCAAAAUAUCUAUUUUGUGAAAGUCAAGUUCUUUCAAAGAACUAAGAUUUCCAAUGGAAAUAGGCCACUCACUCGACAAAAAAUUUGCAGAGAGAUCAAGUUCUUCCAAUGAACGAAGAUUACCAACGGAAACAGGCAGCUCACCCUGUAAUUCAUUUAGUGAAAGGUCUAAAUGAAGGAGCUUGGAUAGAUUACCGAGUGAGGAUGAAAUUCUUCCUGAAAUUUGUUAAAAAAGAAAAAAGAACACAUUGCUUAAGUAGAAAAUUAAAAAUAAUAAUAGUUUUUACUAAUGAAUUUAACAUUGCAUGUAUAUUAAUUAAGGAGAAAAUAUAUAAAAUUUAAUUACCUUGCAAUUCACAGUUUCGGAGAGAAAUAAUCGUCGAAGAAGAUAGAUUUGCGAUGUUAUGAGGUAUCGUUGACUGAAUAGAAACAUCACCAAGGUCAAGUGUUUUUAGAUUGCCUAACUUCUCCACUAAAUUUACGAAACUAGGCUUCUGGAGUUCAAGUCUACCACCAGGAACAUCAUUUAGUGAUAAAUCAAGGGACACCAAAUUGGAGAGCUUUAGAAUUUCUGAUGGUAUUUGGCCAGAUAAAGAAGUUCCAGAGAGGUUCAAGUAUGAUAACCUGGAAAGGUUGAUGAUUUCUGGUGGGGUUUCGGAGGAAUUGAAGUCAUUCAAAGCAAGAUUAAGCCACUCAAGAUGGACAAGCUUGAAAAGGCUGCUGCUAGAGUUGAUAGAACCAAAAAGGCAGCUAUGGGAGAGGUCAAGCUUGAUGACAUGACCAGUGUUCUUAUUGCAAUGAACUCCGUCCCAAGAGCAGCAAUCAACCUUACCUUCUUCUGGCUUCCAUGAUGCCAUUGUAGGACGACAGUCAAAUUUCCAAGCAUAAAAAUCACCACUGAUGCGGCUUUCUUUGAAUUGCAACAAAGCAGAGCGCUCAUCAUCAUGGCAGAGUGGCGGCAUAGAAGAAGCAGUGAAGUUAGCAAUUGUAAAAUUAAAGAAAAAGAAGGGAAAAACUAACCGUAUGAAUAUUGUGAAUAAACAUAUGGAGGAUAAACCCAUAGUUUUCUUAAAAAUAAAAUUUGUUUAACUUUGUAGAUGUGAAGAAAUUUAAGGAUCUUGGUUUGCUUUUUUAGGGAAAUUGCAGCAAUUCAAACAUUUUAGUCAUUGGACUCUUUUUUUAUUUUUUUAAGUCAACAAAAGUUAGUCUUAAUAAUAUUUAUUUUUUAUUAUUUGAUGUGAUGCCCCACAAAAAAAAAUUGAUUUAAUGUGUUAUUAACAAUCUAUCCAGAAAAAACAAUUCUUUAAUAGGAUCUAUCGAACUUGACCUGUGUUUAUAUUUCCUUUCAUUUUCUAUAAUUUCAUUUUCUGAAUUAAUUUGCUUCUUUUUUUUUUCUCCUUUCCCCUCUUGUAUUUCCCUUCACGGCCAGUUGAGUAUUCUGCAUACUCGAGUAUAUGUCAUUGGCUGAUGACUUUUCACUACAACUCAAAAAUUUUCCUCCCCACGGCAUGUUGAUAUUAUCUCCAAACUAGCAACAUUAUCACUGUCACUCUUCUUUGUAAACUACGCACUCGUUGGUUGAGUGAUGAGCACAUGUACCUUGUGAUUAAAAAAUCACGCCAAGAAUUCGAGUUUUACUCCUUUAGAUUUCUUAGCCGAUCUGCCAAUGCGCCAAUUUGUAAUGAGCUUUAGCUGAUGGUUUCUGAGAUGGGCUCUAAUUAGUGCACCUAAAAUGUAACAAAUAUCUCACGUUAACAACCCAAAAUUCCAUAAUUUCAUGCAAAAUCAUUCUAGAAGUUAAAAUUAGGUGUUAAUCAGACACAAACACCAGAAAAAUUAAUGAAAUUUGGAUUCACUAAAAUUGGCGUGAUUUUUUAAUUUAGAUCAAUUAAAAAUACUUCAUUUUAUAGUGUCGGAUUCCCUAUAAGUCGUCAUAAAUCAUUAUCCAGACGAUCAAGGCCGGCGGAUAAAGACUCAAGACUAGAAUUAGAAGUCUUCGAGUAUCAAUCAUAUGUCGUGUCAGAAAAUUCUUUCUUAGUUCUAAGCCAACUAAAGUUGAAUUCGCCAUAUCAUGAUAAUGGAUGUUAAUAUUUGCUAACUUGGAGUCAAAGUCAUGCGUUGAUUGCAUUUGUAUUGCCUGUAUGACUAGGACGUGGCAAAUGCUCAUGGAAUAGAUCUGCUUCUUUUUUCUUCUUUCCCCACUACCACCAGUUCACUUAACUUUUCCUUCACGGCAUGCUGAAUGAGAUCUUCUACUCCAUCAGUGCAUUUAGGAUUAGAUUUCUAAUUUGUCCGAUGUCUCUGCAUUUUCUUGAACUCUCUACUCUUCCUCGAGUAAUUAAGGAGGAUUAAAGUAAAAGAAAAGGGUAGAACGAGUUAUCCCUAUUUGUUGCACUAGCUAUCAGAUUUCCAUAUUAUAGUAAUUAUUGGCCAAAAACAUAAUUUUUUAUUUAAAUUGUCAAAAAGACUUGAAUGUUCUCAUCCUAAAAUAAGUUCCAUUAAAACAAUCAUAAUAUUUAUGGAAUGUUUAUAACUAGAAUGAGUGCUCCUACUUGAACUAGUAAAAUCUCUUGAACUAAUUUAAAGGUUCAAUCCUGCUCACAUGAGUAAGGAGAGGAGAGGGGAUUUGUUUAAAUUUUAUUGUAUUGAAUUUCGUAAUUUCAAUACUUCCACGUAGUUAUUACGAUUUCAUCAAGUUUACGAUGCUAAUGAUCAAACAGUACAGUUUCUAAACUAACUAAAAUAGUACCUAGUUAGCUAAUUAGAUAACGGAUUGAUGGAAUAGAUGUGGAUGUCUAAUUUUAGAGUUUGAAUUUUUUUUAAAUUAAUCAAAGAAAACAUAUUUUCAAUUUUGAGUUAUUGUACUAUUAAUUAAUAAUUUAAUUAAAAAUUUAUUUAUUUGCUAUCAUUCUAGUUGUUGAAAAUGCCUUUAAUAGGGGUUGGUUCAAUAUUUGGUUGGAGUCUCUGAUUUCAUGCUGGCGGUCCAACUCCUUCUCUUCAUCCCUCUUUGACCAUUUGCAAUGUACUUGCAUUGCAAAUUUCUGUAGUCAAACUUGGGUCUUCAAUGUAGUCACAUCCCUUGGUAGGAUUUCUCUCCUUCAAAGAUUAACGCUCUUUCUUCUCGAGAUGCAAAUGGCUUUUCAAAUUGUCAUUUUUGUUAAUGUAGGUCCUGCAUUCACUAUUAGAAAAAUGGGCUAACAUGACAGAAUUUUUGUGAUACAUAUUAGAAAAUUAGUCAUUAAUCACAAGAAUGUGAUAGACACAUGAAAGAAUUUUCAUACAUCAUAAAGCCAUGACAGAUUUGUGAUAGAGUUUUUAUAUAUUAGAUAAACAUGAUAGCAUAUUAAUAUUUAAUCAAACCGUGAGUUUCAGAUGGAAUUAAUUUGGGCAUGAAAGACACCGUUUAACAGAUUUAAAAAAAUUUUAAAACAAAAAUAUUUAUUUAACAUUUAAAUGCUAUCAUUUAACUAUAUUGACUAAACCACAAAAAAAUUAAGUGUUGGCACCUUUGACUUAUCACUUCAUCGGCAAGGGCUGAGAAACCAAAGCACUGAAACCCCUCAAAAUCUAAAAUUAACCUAUUUUAAUCUACAAAUUGGUUUUAAAACCCAUUGCAUGGAAACCAAAAUCAUAGUAUAUGCUAUUGAACGAGCCUUCGCGUCCUUAUUUUGAACCCCCAUUAUUUUGAACCCAUUGGUUUUAGGCACAAAAUCACCACAUACGCUCAUUGUUGCGCCUUCGCGUCCAUUAUUGAAGCCAUCGGUGUCACUACUGAAAUACUAACUAGGCAACCCAAGAGGGGGGGUGAAUUGGGUUUUUAUAAAUUAAGCUAAGCAAACACACAACAAUCCAAUCUAAUGCCUUAAUAAAUUUGAAAACAAUAAAUUCAAUGAAAGCACAAUAAUAAAUGAGCAAGGGAAGAGAAAGCAAACUCAAGGAUUUUUACGUGGUUCGGCAAUCCCCGCAUACGUCAACGCCUCCAAGCACACCGGGCUUGAGGAUUUCACUAUCCGAGCCUUUCCAAGGCUUCAAUAGUUUACAAUUGACUUCAAGAUGUCAAUGAACCUUUACAACAAGAGAUUAUCUCUCCAAUCUCUUCACCCCAAGUGUUUCUCACACUUGUACACUCACAAUUUGAUGAGAAAUGAAAAUUACAUCAAUGAAACUCUCUUUAAGAGUGGAUAUACAAAUUGAAGAACAAAGGUGAUUUAAUAAAUGAUGAUUUACGAAAUUGAAGCUCAAUAUAUGUUGUGUGCACUUGUUUUUGCUUGCCAAGAUUACCAAAAAUGAAUUGGUUUUGAGUUUAUAUAGUUUGAGCUAAAAAACUAGCCGUUAUGCACAUUUUGGUCAUAACCGGCUUACCGUUUAUGGACAUCCGAUUAGCCGCUUAAUGUUACCGUUAUAGCCACAAUUUUGAAUUUCUGAACAUCCGGUAUGCCGCUUGUGAAAUCCGGUUAGCCAUUUAAGCUCCAGAAGCUUACUGCCCAACAACCGGAUUACCGUUUGUCAGGAUCCGGUUAGCCGCUUUCAAUUCGGAUAGAUUCUGCCCAACAUCCGGUUUGUCCUCAAAACUUUAUAAAACUAUAUUAUGGCCCAAAACGUUAUGAAAGCUUUCAAAUAGGUCCAAUUUCAGAAUUUUUAAAGAAUGCUUUGUCAAUCCCAAAACUUUCUGAAAUUAUGAUUUCACCCAAACUAUGUGAAAUUAUAGAAUGACCCAAAAUAUUUAAAUAAUUUCAAAUAGGUCCAAAUCCGAAAUUUUAAAAACAAUAUCAAAGGUUUUAAAAUACUUUCAUUUUAGUCCAAAACACUUUAAUUCCAUAACAUCAUUUUUCCAUUAAAUAUGAAACCUUUAUAAUUUGAAAAUAAUGAUUUAUUUAAAAAAUAAUAAUUUGAGCUUAAAAGAUUAAUCAUUCUUAAUCUUGUUUGUUAGCAUCAAAAUCAACAUUAUGGAAACAUAUAUGUUAACAAUCUCCCCCUUUUUGAUGAUGACAAACAUUUCAUGUAUUUAAAGAAUGAUUCCACAAAUUGCUCCCCCUAAAUAUAAUAUUCUCUUACAAUUUGCCAAUUAGCUAAAUUAACAUAUUUAAAUACAUAGAUUUUUCUCCCCCUUCAUCAUAAAAAAGAAAACUUAAUUGGCAAAGAAAAAGAGUAGUAAAUUUUUAUAAAUUUAAAAAUAUGUCUUCUUCUCCCCCUUCAUCAUCAAAAAGAAAACUUAAAGGAAAAGAAUAAGAGUAGCAAAUUCAUUACUCAUGUUUGUCCGAGUAGAAAUUUCAACACAUUCUCCCCCUAACAACAAGCAUUACCUCAAAUACAAGUUUAGUAAUAUUACUCCCAAAUUAUUAUAAAUCAUGAUACAAGCCAACUCCAUACACAAAUCAUCACACCAAAAUAUCAUGAACCAUUAUUCUAUUAAUUACCAAAUCAACAACUCAUAACAUAAAAUUAUCAUAUAAAACAACUCAUAACAUUAUUCUUUUUGGGUGAAAUUCUAUAAUACAAUAGAGGUAUCAUAUCAAUUCCCAACAAACAAAUAAUUUGAUGACAUAUGUGCUUUUAUUUUAGAAAAUCUCCAUGUAAGCGUGAUUAAAUUAAUUUAAUUAAACAUAUCAUGCAUGCAUUAACUAAUUUUGUUAUUUCUAAUGUAUUCUAGAAUUUGUCGUUAGCUUUUUUAGAAAACAACAUAAUAAUAAGGUUACGUAAAGAUUCAUAUGUGGCUGCAUAUGAUCAUUACAAAAAUAUACUAUUUGGUGUAGAGAAUAUUGUCUUCCUCUCACAAUAAAUCAAACAAAUUAGGUUUGAAUAUGAUUUAUUCAAAUUUUAGAGUUUUCUUUUUAUUAUUAACAAAAUAGGUUAUCUAGUGGUGGAGAUGGUGUUGGCCUAGCCCAUCAAUGAAAGGCCCAUCCAUACUCAUACUCGUACCUUACCAUGCCCACCCUGUAUUUCAUGCCGUCCUAGGUCGUGCCUUUUUUUUUUUUUUACUUAGACCCAGCCCAACACACAUACCGUAUCAUAAGUCGUUUUGUGUCAUGCUUAAGAAAAAAAGCACGAUAAGCUUUUUUUUUUUUUAAGAGGACAUACCAAAUUGUUGGCCUACUUUUUUCUAACCUUUAUACUUUUUUAUGUUCAUGUGCCUUUUCUCAAAUUCAAUAGAAUAAAAAAUUCAAAACUUAAUUUCAUAUUCAAUAAUAAUAAAUUAUUAAUAUUAAGAGAAUAUAAUAUUAGUUUUUAAGUGAGACCUUACGGUAUUAAAAUUCUUUUUAACUACUUAACAACAACAACAACAAUAAUAAUUUUUUUAAGGGUUAACUUAAUUGUUAAACUAGAUUUACAUAGAGUUAUAAAUCAUAGUCGAUAAUAACAUUAAUACAUAUUUAUAAAAUCAUAAUAUUUAUAAUUUUAUUUAUUAAAAUUAAUGAUAUCAAUUAUUUAUUCAAUAAAUUAUAAAUAUAAAUUAAUUAAAAGAUUCUUUUGAAACUAAGAACUAAAUAAUUUAAAAAACUUACACUAAUAAAAUAUAUUAAAAUAUUCAAUUUUAAGUUAUUGAAUUAAUAGUAUAUGACCGCAACACCUUCAAACUGGCCAACAACAUAUUAAAUAUUAAAACAUUAUCUCCCUCGUCAUUGAUCGAGACAUUCAAUUGCAUGCAUUUACUUUACCUUAGAUGGUAUUUUCUGAGACGAAAAUAUAAGUGGUUGUGCAAGGAUUGAAUAGCGAAUUGCCUUUAUUUCACUCGGCAAUUAAAUAAAUAAUUUAAUAAAAAACCUCUUCUUCUUAAUUCUAACAGGGGUGUCUUCAAUUUUGGUUUUAUAUAGCGUGGUGUCUCAAUUUUUCAGCCACUGCAAGCUAGCUCCAUGGCGCUCCCUAUUCCUCUAUCUUUAUUAUUUAUUAAUAAACUAAUCAUCGAUCUCAGGGAGCUUCUCUUAGUGCUUGCUUUAAACAAAAAUAAAAAGAAAAAAGAAGUUGCGUGUUGGAAGCAAAGUGUUCGUGCAAAUCUUUGACAUUACAAAAGUAGCUGGCUUUGGCUAUUAUUAAUUUAUUAGGCAUCAAGUACAACCAUUUACAGCAUUAGUUAUAAUGAGGCACCGCCAGUUAGUUGACUUCACAGUAGUAACUUAAAAAUGGUGACAACUCACCAUGUACGUAAUGUGUUCUACCAGAGCUGUGUUCCGCAAGCCAUAGUUCUGAAUGAAAAUCGAACCUAUAACAUUUGUGCUAAAGUAUUGGUCAAAUGUAGGCUUGGCAUGAACCAAGAAUUGAGCUAGCAAACUCUAGAAGCAUCACAACCUUUGCUGUCAUCUUUACUACUCUUCUAAAAUUUUUCUGCAACUUAAACCUAAUUCUCUGUCACUGAAAUUAAAUUUGAGAUAACAAUCCACUUCCAGUUUUAGAAUUGUGGUCCCUUAUACUUAAUUUAUCUACUUGUGUCUGAUUUAUUUUUUCAUUUGUUCGUCAUCCCCACUACAAGAAAAAUAGGAUAUAACAACAAGAAUGUAGCCGCUGUUAAAAAGUAUUAGAAGUAUAGAUUUUACAACAUGAAAUCAAAAAGUAAUGGGUAUGAUUCGUGAUCUAUGAUUGAGUUGGUGGGUUGAGUAAAUAUAUAGCUUCUAAACUUUUAUCUUUGUUGGGUUCUAGUUUAAUAGCAAGAUUUGUCAUUAAAUUUGGGACUUAUUUCAAGCAAUAAUUUAUAGUUAAUACUUUUAGUAUUAAAAGUAUAGAUUUUCUUGACCUCCUAUAAAUCUUUAUCUUUCUAAUUGUGAGUUUUUAUUUCAUACACGCAUGCAAAUGAACACGAUAACUAAUUAUUUAUAAUGGUCGUUAAAAAUGUUUUGAUAUUAAUUCCUUUCCUCUGCUAAAAAAUUUCAACUUCAAUUCAAUUUUCGCUCAAUUUUCAGAAAUUGAUGAUUCAAGAGACUGAGAGAGAGAUAAAUCAUAGAAUAAAAGAACUUUUUGUUAUUUUUGUUUUUUAAUAAUGAUAAAUUCAGAAAUAAAGGAGAUUAAUUGAAAAUUAAGGACCACUGAAAUAAAUACAUGGGGUCAAAUAUCACUACUCUCACAAAACUGUUUUGGCAUGAGAAGUCAAAAUACACGACACACAUAGAAUUUACUACUCAUUACACAACGAGUUAAUUUUAUUUAGCCAUGAGCCCAGUUAUAAUCAUUGGGUCUAAUAAGCGGAAUAAAAAUAACAAGUUGGAUCUUUGUGUAGAUAUCUUGGAUCUUUGUGUAAAUAUCUUUUUUUUUUAAUUUAAAAUUAGAUAUAUCAUCAAGCUUAUUCAUCGGGGCUUUAUUACAUUUCCUUUUAUUUUCAAUAAUUAAUUUGUCAUCUAAUUGGUCAAUAAAUUUGCUUCUUGUUUGUCCACAGUCCAGUACACUAACAUAGAUGCUGUUCAUUAGAAGCAGAAACAGAGCUGUAACAGAGAAGAAAAUAGCUGUAAAAUUAUUUCUUAGGUUUUGAGAUAGGAAUGACGAACCAAAGUUAAAUUGGCCAUAUCAUUCAAGUGUCACCAUUAGCUUGGAUGCUUGUAAAGAUGAUUUGGACCCAUAGUUUUUGCAUAAAAACCUUUGUUAUCUUUACUUUUGUUGUCAAAAUUAUUAUUACAAUUUUCUUAAUGGUAGAAAUAGAACCUAAUCCCUCACAAUUAUAAUUUAAUAAUAUGUUAAUUACCAAACACUAUUAUUUUUCUAUUCAUACCUAGUAGUGAUUUAAAUUUGAAAAGCGACAAAACCAGCAACCAAUUUUCAAUACAUAAUAGACCAAUCUAUAUUUUUAUUUUUUAAGGAGAAAUGUAAGGAUCCAUAAAAAAAAAAAACCACCAACAUUACAAUGACAGAAUUAGAAACGAAAAUCACAACAACAUUAUAAUUGCAUUCAGUUUCUACGUCUCCUCCUCCUCCUUGUUGCCUUUUGCUGCGUUCCCAACUUCUCCAGAAUCCAUCCGAUAAUUCCAGUGCUGAAGUUGCACCCGAGAACCAAUCCUGCCACAAGCCCGCCCGCAUAGCCAGUCAGAAUGAUUUUCCAAUCAGAUGCGCUUGAAAACAGAGACUCCUCCGAGCCUUCAUUAUGAUCUUCAUUUGUUGGAGCUUCAUCACUCUCACAUCCUUUGGACAAAGGCCUUCCGCACAAUCCUGAGUUGCCGUCGAAAGAAGUGUUGUCAAAUGUAGCAAAUUGCUUUCCUUGUGGUAUGGGUCCUGUAAGGUAAUUGUCCGAGACAUUGAAGAAUUCGAGAAAUGUGAGCUCAACCAGUUGUUGAGGAAUCCGUCCUGAAAACUUGUUAUCUGAGAGAUCCAAUGAUUCCAAAUUUGUUAGAUUGCCCAAACAUGACGGAAUAUGGCCUUGGAGAUUAUUGUUGUGGAGGUUUAAAACUUGAAGUCCCUUUAAAUUCGCAAUCGAUGCUGGAAUAGCCCCAUCGAAUCUAUUGUUUGAAAGAAUAAUGCCCGCGAGGAUAUCAGGAAUCUUCUUAUAUGUCAUCAUUCGCCCUUUGCUGUUCAUUGUCAUUGAGUAGUCGUAAGUGCUAACUACAUUAUUGGACACUUGUCCAUACGGAAAAAGCACAUCUUGCAGAUAUCUUAGCUCACUUGUAUUGACAAUUUUCAUGGCAUUCCAACACAGGAAGCUCUUUGAUGGAAGCGUUCCAGUAAAUCUGUUGUUAGAUAGGUCAAUAAUGCGGAGUUUAGAAAAUCCACAAUCAGUUCUGGGUUCUUCUAUAAUGCCGUAAAAUAUGUUGGAUCGUAGGAUGAGAACAUUCAAGUUUGGAAGAGUUCCUAACCAAGAGGGAAAAGUGUCACUAAUCUGGUUGUUCCCAAGACCAAGAAAUUCCAACUUUGAACAGUUGAUCAAUGAUCUUGGAAUUCUUCCCUGGAACAGAUUAUGGCUUAAAUCAAUCACGCUUAAUCUACUUUCUUUAAUGAAAGUAUUUGGGAUGGUCCCAAAGAAGUUGUUCCCCCGCAAGUCGAGCACCGAAAGUUCAUCACUGAAAUUGCUUAAACACUGAGGAAGCAAGCCACUUAAGUUAUUGUGAGACAAAACAAGGCUUUUAAGAAAAUUCAAAUUGCAUAUCCACGAUGGAAUUUCCCCUGUUAAGCUAUUGUUUGACGCUAGAUAGUUAAUGGUUCCAGGGGGUGGAACGGGGAGUGGUCCUUGUAAAUUAUUAGAGCUAAGAUCAAAAGUUACCAAACCACCUUUAUUCCCUGGAAGAAAAACAGGAUGCUGAUCAAACCCGGUUAACAAGUUAUGCGAAAGGUUCAAGCCAAUGAGAUUCUGCAUAUUGGGGUCUAACAACCAUUUAGGUACUUUUCCCCGAAUUCUAUUGUCAGAAAGGUCCAAGACCACCAAAUGAUGUUGGCUUUCCAAGAAAUUUGGAAAUUUAGUAAGAUUGCAUGAACGCAAUUUUAUAUACUGAUGUUUCUUUGAAGUGGUAUUAGAAGUGGCUUUGGUGAGCACUGACAACCUAUUAGAUGAGAGACUUAAAUGUUCCAAAUUUUUCCAGCUAGUAAGUAAAACAUCUAACUCUAUCAUUCCGCUAUAAGAAUUUCGAGCCAUGUCAAGGACGAUAAGUUGGGUAAGAUUCCUAAGUGAAGAUGUAAUUUGACCUGAAAAAUUACACUUAGGGAUAUGUAUUACUUCCAAUGACCUAAGAUUUCCAAUGGAACCAAGUAAGUCACCCGAAAAACUAUUCAAUCCAGGAUACAAAAAUUGUAGCCGGGUGAAAUUACCAAUCGAAUGUGGAACUUUGCCCCAAAAACUACAUGACCUCAGAUCUAAUAACUUCAAAGAACUAAAAUUUCCAGUCGACCAUGGAAACUCACCCGAAAAUUUAUUGAAUGAAAGGUCAAGUUUUUCCAAAGAAAAAAGAUUUCGAAUGGAAGUAGGCAACUCACCAAAAAAUGCAUUGUGUGAAAGGUCAAGUUCUUUCAAAGAACCAAGAUUUCCCAUGGAAAUAGGCAACUCACCAAAAAAUCUAUUUUGUGAAAGAUCAAGUUCUUUCAAAGAACUAAGAUUUCCAAUGGAAAUAGGCCACUCACUCGACAAAAAAUUUGCAGAGAGAUCUAGUUCUUUCAAUGAAUGAAGAUUACCAACGGAAACAGGCAGCUCACCCUGUAAUUCAUUUAGUGAAAGGUCUAAAUGAAGGAGCUUCGAUAGAUUACCGAGUGAAGAUGGAAUUCUUCCUGAAAUUUGUAUUAAAAAAAAAAGAACACAUUGCUUAAGUAGAAAAUUAAAAAUAAUAAUAAUUUUUUCAAAUGAAUUUAACAUCGCAAUUGGCAAUUUUCGAGUAAAAUAUAUAUAUUUAACAAUAACAUGCAUGUAUAUUAAUUAAGGAGAAAAUAUAUAAAAUUUAAUUACCUUGCAAUUCACAGUUUCGAAGAGAAACAAAUGUCAAAGAAGAUAGAUUUCCGAUGUUAUGAGGUAUUGUUGAAUCAAUAGAAACAUCACCAAGGUCAAGUGUUUUUAGAUUGGUUAAUUUCUCGACUAAAUUUGUGAAACUGGGCUUCUGGAGUUCAAGUCUACCACCAGGAACAUCAUUUAGUGAUAAAUCAAGGGACACCAAGUUGGAGAGCUUUAGAAUUUCUGAUGGUAUUUGACCAGAUAAAGAAGUUCCAGAGAGGUUCAAGUAUGAUAACCUGGAAAGGUUGAUGAUUUCUGGUGGGAUUUCGGAGGAAUUGAAGUCAUUCAAAGCAAGAUUAAGCCACUCGAGAUGGACAAGCUUGAAAAGGCUGCUGCUAGAGUCGAUAGAACCAAAAAGGCAGCUAUGGGAGAGGUCAAGCUUGAUGACAUGACCAGUGUUCUUAUUGCAAUGAACGCCGUCCCAAGAGCAGCAAUCAACGCUACCUUCUUCUGGCUUCCAUGAUGCCAUUGUAGGACGACAGUCAAAUUUCCAAGCAUAAAAAUCACCACUGAUGCGGCUUUCUUUGAAUUGCAACAAAGCGGAGCGCUCAUCAUCAUGGCAGAGUGGCAGCAUAGAAGAAGCAGUGACGUUAGCAAUUGUGAAAUUCAAGAAAAAGAAGGGAAAAACUAACAGUAUGAACAUUGUGAAUAAACAUAUGGAGGAUAAACCCAUAGUUUUCUCAAAAAUAAAAUUUGUUUAACUUUGUCGAUGUGAAGAAAUUUGAGGAUCUUGGUUUGCUUUUAUAGGCAAAUUGCAGCAAUUCAAACAUUAUAGUCAUUGGACUCUUUUUUUAUUUUCUUAAGUCAACAAAAGUGUUAGGAAAUUGAGCUUCCUCCCAAGAUCUCUCCAAGCAAUUUAUCAAGCAACAAAUUAAUAAGAAAAAUUAAAUGGAGAAUACACCAAUCACACAACACAAGAUUUACGUGGAAAACUCCAAAUCCGGAGAAAAACCACGGCCGUUGUCACAAGACAACCAGAGAAAAAUAUUCACUAUGUGGAAAAUUAUUAUAACCACUUUCAGAAAUAAUUUUUCUCUCACCCAAGCCCCAAAUACAUAAUCCCGAGAAAUAUCCCUUAACAAAGCAAACCCGUAAUACCCAUAUUGAGGAGCCAACUUCUCCUUCAAUAUAACUACAUGCUUAAGAACAUUUCUCUCUCUCAAUUUCUCACCAAAACUUGGAUUCCUUCUCUGGGAUUUGGGAUACAAACAAUAAGGAGGAGCACUCCUCUAUUUAUAGCCACCAGUGACUACUGUUCAUCUUGCGGCUACUGUUCAUCUUGCGGCUACUGUUCAUCUUACGGCUACUGUUCAUUUUGCGGCUACUGUUCAUUUUGCGGUUUUGCUUUUCUUCAUUCUCCCAUUGGAGACUUGAUUUUUCAACUCUUUUUUUUUAAUCAAUUUUCAACAAAAAGUUAGUCUUAAUAAUAUUUAUUUUUUAUUAUUUGAUGUGAUGUCGUAAACUUUUACCAUUCCGUCACCACCGAAAAUACGUUUAUAGCAAACGUGAGGAUUAAUUCAUGAGUAAAUGAGUAAUACAUUCAUUUUUAUUUUUGUUUGAAAAAAUGAAAAACAUAAUUCCGAAGUGGUCCAGACCACUUGAAAUUUAAAAAAAAAUUGAUAAAUAUUAUUUGGAUAUGAUAUCAGCUCAAAAUUCAAACAAAUCUUACAAACAACUGGCGAUAAAUGGUGAAUUCCAUUCCUUAACCGAGGUUUAUUAAAUUAAAAAAAAAAGUGAAAAAAGAUGAUAAUUAAAUUAAUUUUAAUGCAAACAAAGUCAUAAUAGUAGAAGUGACAAUUUCGGCACGAUUAACUAAUUAAUCAGACACAAACACAAGAUAAAUUAAUGAAUUUGGAUUUACUAAAAUUGACAUGAUUUUCAGAGACUCGAGACUAGUAAUUAGAAGUCUUUGCACGCUCUGUACAUAUGCCGUGUCAGAAAAUUAUUUCUUAGUUUUUAACAUAAGAAUGACGAAAGAGUGAUGUAUUUUUGGACACUGUUCUAAGUCAGCUAAAAUUAAAAUUGGCCAUUUAUCAUUAUAAUGGAUGUUAAGAUAAUUUGAACUCAUAGUUGUUGAUAAAAAAAAUUGUUAAAAUUAGGUGUUAAUCCGACACAAACCCCUGAAAAAUUAAUGAAAUUUGGAUUUACUAAAAUUAAAAAUAUUUCAUUUUAUAGUGUCGGCUUCACUAUAAGUCGUCAUAAAUCAUUAUCAACAGACGAUCAAGGCUCGAUGAAGACUCAAGACUAGAAUUAGAAGUCUUCGAGAAUCAAUCAAUCUUAGGUGAUGGCAAGCUCGAUUUCAGUCAAGUGGUUUAGGUCUUUGCAUGUUCUAUGCAUAUGCCGUGUCAGAAAAUUAUUUUUUAGUUUCUUAGACAGGAAUGAGGAAGGAGAGAUGUAAAUAUGAACGCCGUUCUAAGACAACUAAAGUUGAAUUCCCCAUAUCAUUAUAAUGGAUGGAUGUUAAUAUUGCUAAUUUGGAGUCAAAAACAUGCGUGUAUUGCAUGUGUAUUGUCUGUAUGACUAGGACGUGGCAAAGGCUCAUGGAAUAAAUCUGCUUCUUUUUUCUCCUUUCCCCACCACCACCAGUUCACUUAACUUUUCUUUCACGGCAUGCUGAAUGAGAUCUUCUACUCCGUCAGUGCAUUUUGUUAGUAAUAUGCCCUAAAGGCCAAUCGAAUGGUGUUUGUUUGUUUAAGGAAUUAUUGUAUUUGAAUAACAUUUUGAUAUUUAUAAAAUGGCAAAGUUAUCAACAUUCAUAAAUUAAUUUAAUGAAUAUAGUUCAAGAAGUAAAAUAGUUAAGGAACACAUUCUCGAGUUUGUCGAGAAUAUGAAACGUGCAUCCUUUGUACUAUACUUCCAAAAUAGUUCCUAGUGGUGGAUUUAUGAUUGGACAUUAUAAAUUCCUAUAAACACUAGUAUGUGUUAUGACUCCUUAUGGUAUGUGAUACUAAAAUGGAUGGUGAGUUUCAUAUCAUUGACAUGAGAUGUCAAGUCAAACACAUAGGUACUUGUUGAGAGAACGAGUUUACUGAACUUGACCAAAUAUAGUAAGCCAUAUGGUUUUGAGUGUUAAUGGCUUAUUAUACAUUGUGAUAGACACUAUGUUUAGUAAUGGUCUUUAGACCUGAGACAUAAUAGAUGUCUUAUACAUAGAUAUCUCUGAUAUGUGAAAGCAUAAUGAUUGAUUCCUAAUCAAGGAAGAGAUCUAGCAAUAACUGUCAUGGUUGGCUAUGUAUGGAGACAAGUGUAUGGCCAAUAUGGAAUUCAUCACUUUGUAAUAUACAAAAAGGAUGUCCCUGUGAGAUAAUAUGAAUUGGCAUGAGAAAUCCUUGGCCAAGGUGAAAUAUGUUUGAAGGAGUUCAAAUUAUAUUUUCAUGCCAAGUUCAUUUAGAUUUAUUUUGAGAUAAAGCAUAACUGCUUAACAUAAUAAACUGUAAGGCGUGCUUUUCUCUGGACAUGGAUGAUGAAGAGACCAAGAGAGACCAAGACAUAGGGAUACAAUGGAAAAGGUUCUAUAGAUCCAACAAUUCUUGUUAUUUGGAUGGUUGUGAAAUACUGCUAGGUGUCACUCAUGACUUGUAGAAACCUUAAGAUUAAUAUUGGUAAAGCGUAUUAGCAAUGCAUCUUAAGGUCAUUAGAAAAGUUCUAUUUGAUGACUAAAGGGUUUAGCAUCAUUUAAUGCAUAAAGAGUUAUCAGUAAAAUAGUUCUACUACCUUAUAACAAAGAACCUAAAAAGUCACACACCAAAUAGAAAUGAAAAAAGGAGUUACUAGAAAAUGAGAAGUUAAAUUUCCUAAUUUUAGGAAAAUCGAUAUUUAUAUUAUAAUUCAUUAAGAAUGAAUAUAUAUAUAUAUAUAAAUAUAUCUUAAAUAUGAUUUAAGAUAGAAAUUUAGAUGUUCCGUAAAUAGUUUAAGGAACAAAAUAAAUUUCAUAAAUCCUCAAUUAAACAUUAUGUAUAAUAUCAAGCACGUAAAAUGACCAUUUUGGACAUGUUCCGAUUCAUAUAUGAUUAUGGACUUCUAGACCAAUUUUGGGUUUAGAAUUUUGGGCUUUUAUUGGACCUAAUAUGGAUUAAGAGAAAGCAUUAAAACAUGUCACAAAAGAAGCCCACAUUUAACCAUUUGAUUUGAUCAAAAUGGGAUUAAUUAAUUAAAGAUAAACUUAAUUAAUUUAGUUAUUUAUUUAUUUGAUUAAAUAAAUUAUUGAAGUGAUAAGAUCACAUUCAAUAAAUAAUGGCUUAGUGGGUGGGUCUAGCACAUGAUAAUGUUUGGUGCCAUUAUUAAAGAUAGUGGUGGCUUUAUUUGGUGGAAUGAAUCAUCAUGAACUAGCAUUCAUGUUCCUCAUUAUCACUCUCAUUUCUAAACGAAAUUUCGUGAUUCCCAAAUCCUAUGAACUCCUAGAACAUUUCUAAGUGUGGACUAACUAGAGGCAUCACAAUUGGGGUGCUUUAAGGAUCUCAAAUCGUGGCAAAACAGAAGCUGUUCGUUCAGAGGUUUAUUUUCUGGACAGUGUUCGUAGCUUGCUGUUGUCAGUCAUUUUCUCCUACUUCACGAAGUCUUUUUUGAAACUACAAGUGAGGUAAUUAAACUUCAAUCUUUCCUCUUGAUUUUCGUUUUUGAAUGAAGCCGAUCCGAGGUUUCUAGAGCUUCCGCCAUCCGUUUUAAUUUCACUGCACAAAAGUUGCGUUUUAAGGAACCUCAUGGACAAAUGUUGUCCUACACAUUUAGGAUUAGAUUUCUAAUUUGUCCGAUGUCUCUGCAUUUUCUUGAACUCUCUGACUCUCCUCGUGUAAUUAAGGAGGAUUAAAGUAAAAGAAAAGGGUAGAACCAGUUAUCCCUAAUUGUUGCACUAGCUAUCAGAUUUCCAUAUUAUAGUAAUUAUUGGCCAAAAACAUAAUUUUUUAUUUAAAUUGUCAAAAAGACUUGAAUGUUCUCAUCCUAAAAUAAGUUCCAUUAAAACAAUCAUAAUAUUUAUGGAAUGUUUAUAACUAGAAUGAGUGCUCCUACUUAAACCAGUAAAAUCUCUUGAACUAAUUUAAAGGUUCAAUCCUGCUCACAUAGUCACAUGAGUAAGAAAAAGGUAUUUGUUUUAAAUUUUAUUGUAUUGAAUUUCUCACUUUCAAUACUUCUACGUAAUUAUUACGAUUUCAUCAAGUUUACGAUGUUAAUGAUCAAACAGUACAGUUUCUAAACUAACUAAAAUAGUACCUAACUAGCUAAUUAGAUAACGGAUUAAUGGAAUAGAUGUGGAUGUCUAGUUUUACAGUUUGAAUUUUUUUUUUAAAAUUAAUCAAAGAAAACAUAUUUUUAAUUUUGGGUUAUUGUACUAUUAAUUAAUAAUUUAAUUAAAAAAUUUAUUUAUUUGCUUUCAUUCUAGUUGUUGAAAAUGCCUUUAAUAGGGGUUGGCUCAAUAUUUGGUUAGAGUCGCUCAUUUAUAGUGUGUUUACUUCAAGGAAUGGGAAUGGGCUGUAAUAGGAAUAUGUUGGAAUGUCAUUAAUGUGUUUACUUGGCAAAAUAAAUGCGAAUGAAAAAAGGGAAUGAGAAUCAAUUUACCAAAAUACCCAUAGUAUUAAUAAUUAAUAAAAAUAAUUAAUUUAUCAUUAUUAACAAUAUUAUCAUUAUUGUUGUUGUUGUUGUUGUUGUUGUUGUUGUUGUUGUUGUUGUUGUUGUUGUUGUUGUUGUUGUUGCUAUUAUUAUUAUUAUUAUUAUUAUUAUUAUUAUUAUUAUUAUUAUUAUUAUUAUUAUUAUUAAAAAUAAUAUUAACAAUAAUUAAUAACAACUAAAAUAUUAUUAUUAUUAUUAAAUUUUAUUAACUUUAUUAUUUUAGUUAUUAUUAAUUAUUGUUAAUAUUAUUUUUAUUAAUAUUAUCAUUAUUAACAUUUAUUAUUAUUAUUAUUAAAUUUUAUUAACUUUAUUAUUUUAGUUACUAUUAAUUAUUGUUAAUAUUAUAUUUAUUAAUAUUAUCAUUAUUAAAAUUUAUUAUUAUUAUUUAAUUAAUAUCACUUUUAUAUCUAGAUAAUGAAAAUUACAUUAUUAUUAUUAUUAAAUUUUAUUAACUUUAUUAUUUUAGUUAUUAUUAAUUAUUGUUAUUAUUAUUUUUAAUAAUAAUACUAAUAACAACAACAACAAUAAUGAUAAUGUUGUUAAUAAUGAUAAAUUAAUUAUUAUUUUUAUCAUAAUUUUUAUUGUUAAUAAUGAUAAUAUUAAUAUUAAUAAAAAUAACAAUAAAAAUAAUUAAUAAUAACUAAAAUAAUAAAGUUAAUAAAAUUUAAUAAUAAUAAUUAUUAUUAAUGGCAUUUAAAAUAAUAAAAUUAAUUGUGAUUUGAAUGAGGGUAAUUUGGAAAAUAUGAAAAAAUUAGAGGGAUACAAAAGUAAACAUAUAUUCCAUUCUCAUUCUUUCAUUUUCAUUCACAACCCCCCAUGGGAAUGUGAUUCCCAUUCCUUAUUCUCAAAUUGUGUGGGACCCACACAUUUUAUUCUCAUUCCCAAAUUACAUUUUACCAAGUAAACAUAUGUUUCAUUCUUAUUCCCCAUUCUAUGAAGUAAACACACCAUUAAUGCUGGCGGUCCAACUCCUUCUCUUCAUCCCACUUUGAUCAUUUGCAAGUAUCUGUAGUCAAACUUGGGUCUUCAAUGUACUCAUCCCUUGGUAGGAUUUCUCUCCUUCAAAGAUUAACGCUCUUUCUUCUCGAGAUGCAAAUGGCUUUUCAAAUUAUCAUUUUUGUUAUUGUAGGUCCUACAUCAUGGUUUCUUAAGAUUUUACAUCAUCUUAGCUUUAUGCAUUUAAUGAGUAAGAUUUUAUAUCAUCUUAGCUUUAUGCAUUUAAUGAGGGAUAAGUUUUACAAUAUCCCAUAAUUAAUUGUGUUAAGUUUAUUAUUUAUAGAGUUGACAUCUUAUGGCAAGUCUAGUGGCAAGUCUAGUAAAUUGAAAUUUUAUUUACUGAAUAUCAUGUAAUAGGGUUUAAGUUAUUAAAUUCCUAGCUAAUUUAGUGAAAUUCCAAUUGAUUAGGAAUAUUGUGUCCUAGUUUAAUUAGAUGUCUAAUUUAGCAAGUCAAUUAGUGACAUGAUUUUAUAAUUGGUGAGUAGGAUUUAUUUAGCGGAAGAAGUUAGUUUAAACAGAAAGUUCAUUAAAUGUCUAGAUAUUUCUUAGGAGACAAGCAAGGUAAGCAUAUCAUAUUUAUUACUAUUCAGAUUUAUAGGAAUUAUAAUAAGAAAGAAACUCUUAUUUGGAAAGAAUCAUAGUCCUUCAACUACAGUCUUAAUAAAUUGUUUCACAUCAGCCUCAUACUCAUCAAACAAUAUAUCAUAUUUAAGCCAAGAUUUAUCCAUUUUUUGUUUAGUAGCUGACAUAUAGUUGAGACAAAUUUCAACAUAAUGUACUAAUGGGCAGCAAUGAUAAACGGUUUCCAUUAUCAAUAAAUUAAGCAACAAAACAUUAUUAAUAUUCAGUUUAUAAAUUUAAUGAAAUAAAUGAAUUUAAAACAAAAACUUGUUAUCAUGUGCAACAAAUAUAACUUCACCAACCUGCUGUCAUCGUUUACCAAAACCUCUAACUAACAAUACCCACUAAUAAUAUCCUUAAUAAUUUAGCCCACAUACAUUUAACAUUUAUUUUAAAAAAAUUCUAACAAUCCAGCAUUUCAUGGGCCACAAGGCUAUAUAUAUAUAAGCAACUAGACAUUCCUUGGUCCACAUGACCAAACUUGCCGCUUCUGAAAAUGCAUUCUGGUAGCAGCUCUAGUUCUUCUCACGGUACAAGUAUGCGUACUCAUGGUAACAGCAAAUCCAAAUGCUGACAAUAGAAAUGCAGCAAGAAGGAUGCUCCUCUUCCCAAUCAACGAAAAAGUAUUGUCAUUCAUUAUGUGAAAAAUUUUACGAUCAGAAAUUGGAGGCCAAUUGUAUGCGAAACUCUGAUAUUUUACCUCGAUCUAUCCAAAUCCAAACAGGAAAAUGAAUACUUGAGCAAUAUUCAAAUGUCGAAAGAGCAUAUUUUCAAAAUUAAGUGAGGAAAAAAAAUUUCUGCAUCAAUUAUCAUCAACGGGUUCUUGAUGUUGAGCAAUAUGCUGAGUCAUCAACCACGUCAGCAGUCAGUUAUGGAGGCUGUUGCAAUAUGUUGAGCACAUUGAAUCACAAUCAAGCAAUAGCCCAAAGUCCAAACCUACCAUGGCUAAUGGUGUUGUUCAGUAAUACACAUUCUCACGUUUAAGAAUCGAACUUAGUAUAUAUAUGAACUCCCACUAUUAAUUAGCCAGCAUAUACAUAGAAUUCGAUUCAGCCAUAGAUAUCGAUUGAAUGAGACACAACUGUAUUUCACAUUAACAUUCACGAAUUAAGACUUUGUAAGAGACGUAAGUACGUACGCUAUUAUUCUUUGUCACUUUCAUGAAAUUUCACAUGCCUUUCUAUUUUAUAUUUACCCAAAAGUCCCAAAAAAAAAAAGUGUAUUUGAUGAUACAUACACGUCACAUGCUUAUGUGAAUUAAAUUUCAAAUAUGCCUUGUGUUAUGUUAUCUUACUCUUUCAGGCAUUGACAACAUUAUAGAACGAGGAAAGAAAUAAACUGCUGCCUGUGCUUCUUCUUGUUGAUUAAUUGUAGUGUAGCCAUCUCGUGAAGUGUGUCCCAUUCCUCCUAUUUUUGGGUGAAAUUCUAUAAUACAAUAGAGGUAUGAUAUCAAUUCCCAACAAACAAAUAAUUUGAUGACAUGUGUGUUUUUAUUUUAAAAAAUCUCCAUGUAAGUGUGAUUAAAUUAAUUUAAUUACACGCAUGCAUUAACUAAUUUUGUUAUUUCUAAUGUAUUCUAGAAUUUGUCGUUAGAUUUUUUAAAAAGCAACAUAAUAAUAAGGUUACAUAAAGAUUCAUAUGUGGCUGCAUAUGGUCAUUACAAAAAUAUACUAUUUGGUGUAGAGAAUAUUGUCUUCCUUGACAAUAAAUCAAACAAAUUAGGUUUGAAUAUGAUUUAUUCAAAUUUUAGAUUUUUCUUUUUAUUAUUAACAAAAUAGGCUAUCUAGUGGUGGAGAUGGUGUUGGCCUAGCCCAUCAAUGAAAGGCUUAUGCAUACUCAUACUCGUACCUUGCCGUGCCCACCCUGUGUUUCAUGCCGUCCUAGGUCGUGCUUUUUUUUUCUUUUUUACUUAGGCCCAGCACACGUACCGUAUCAUAAGUCGCGUUGUGUCGUGCUUAAGAAAAAAAACACGAUAAGUUUUUUUUUUUAAAGAGGGCAUACCAAAUUGUUGGCGUACUUUUUUCUAACCUUUGUACCUUUUUAUGUUCAUGUGCCUUUUGUCAAAUUCAAUAGAAUAAAAAAUUCAAAACUUAAUUUCAUAUUCAGUAAUAAUAAACUAUUAAUAUUAAGAGAAUAUAAUAUUAGUUUUUAAGUGAGACCUUACGGUAUUAGAAUUCUUUUUUACUACUUAACAACAACAACAACAAUAAUUUUUUUAAGGGUUAACUUAAUUGUUAAACUGGACUUACAUAUAGUUAUAAAUCAUAGUCGAUAAUAACAUUAAUACAUAAUUAUAAAAUCAUGAUAUUUAUAAUUUUAUUUAUUAAAAUUAAUGAUAUCAAUUAUUUAUUCAAUAAAUUAUAAAUGUAAAUCAAUUAAAAGAUUCUUUUGAAACUAAAAAUUAAAUAAUUUACAAAACUUACACUAAUAAAAUAUAUUAAAAGAUUCCAUUUUAAAUUAUUGAAUUAAUAGUAUAUGACCGCAACACCUUCAAACUCGCCAACAACAUAUUAAAUCUUAAAACAUUAUCUCCCUCGUCAUUGAUCGAGACAUUCAAUUGCAUGCAUUUACUUCAGCUUAGAUGGUAUUUUCUGAGACGAAAAUAUAAGUGGUAGUGCAAGGAUUGAAUAGCGAAUUGCCUUUAUUUCACUCGGCAAUUAAAUAAAUAAUUUAAUAAAAAAACCUCUUCUUCUUAAUUCUAACAGGGGUGUCUUCAAUUUUGGUUUUAUAUAGCGUGGUGUCUCAAUUUUUCAGCCACUGCAAGCUAGCUCCAUGGCGCUCCCUAUUCCUCUAUCUUUAUUAUUUAUUAAUAAACUAAUCAUCGAUCUCAAGGAGCUUCUCUUAGUGCUUGCUUUAAACAAAAAUAAAAAGAAAAAGAAGUUGCUUGUUGGAAGCAAAGUGUUCGUGCAAAUCUUUGACAUUACAAAAGUAGCUAGCUUUGGCUAUUAUUAAUUUAUUAGGCAUCAAAUACAACCAUUUACAGCAUUAGUUAUAAUGAGGCACCGCCAGUUAGUUGACUUCACAGUAGUAACUUAAAAAUGGUGACAACUCACAAUGUACGUAAUGUGUUCUACCAGAGCUGUGUUCUGCAGGCCAUGGUUCUGAAUGAAAAUCGAACCUAUAACAUUUGUGCUAAAGUAUUGGUCAAAUGUAGGCUUGGCAUGAACCAAGAAUUGAGCUAGCAAACUCUAGAAGCAUCACAACCUUUGCUGUCUAUCUUCACUACUCUUCUAAAACUUUUCUGCAACUUAACCUAAUUCUCUGUCACUGAAUUUAAAUUUGAGAUAACAAUCCACUUCCAGUUUUAGAAUUGUGGUCCCUUAUACUUAAUUUAUCUACUUGUGUCUGAUUUAUUUUUUCAUUUGUUCGUCAUCCCCACUACAAGAAAAAUAGGAUAUAACAACAAGAAUGUAGCCACGUUCACCAGAUGAUUGUUGUGAAAUCUACUUUUUGGCAACGUGCUUAAUUCACGCGCUGUUAAAAAGUAUUAGAAGUAUAGAUUUUACAACAUGAAAUCAAAAAGUAAUGGGUAUGAUUCGUGAUCUAUGAUUGAGUUGGUGGGUUGAGUAAAUGUAUAGCUUCUAAACUUUUAUCUUUGUUGGGUUCUAGUUUAAUAGCAAGAUUUGUCAUUAAAUUUGGGACUUAUUUCAAGCAAUAAUUUAUAGUUAAUACUUUUAGUAUUAAAAGUAUAGAUUUUCUUGACCUCCUAUAAAUCUUUAUCUUUCUAAUUGUGAGUUUUUAUUUCAUACACGCAUGCAAAUGAACACGAUAACUAAUUAUUUAUAAUGGUCGUUAAAAAUGUUUUGAUAUUAAUUCCUUUCCUCUGCUAAAAAAUUUCAACUUCAAUUCAAUUUUCGCUCAAUUUUCAGAAAUUGAUGAUUCAAGAGACUGAGAGAGAGAUAAAUCAUAGAAUAAAAUAACUUUUUGUUAUUUUUUUUUAAUAAUGAUAAAUUCAGAAAUAAAGGAGAUUAAUUGAAAAUUAAGGACCACUGAAAUAAAUACAUGGGGUCAAAUAUCACUACUCUCACAAAACUGUUUUGGCAUGAGAAGUCAAAAUACACGACACACAUAGAAUUUACUACUCAUUACACAACGAGUCAUAAAAUUCAUGUAUCAACCUAAUUUAAUUGAGGGUAUUUUAGUAAUUAUAUACGUUAAGCAUUUGUAUAUAAUUUCAAACUAUCGUGGCACGUGGAGAUAAUUAAAUAAUCAGUCACACUAGAAGGCCAAAAUCAAGGGAUUCGUCUCCUAUGGUCAAUGAUCAUAUUCGAGAGGAAAUAAUCCCUAUCUUGGAGGGCAAAGUUUUGUGCUAUAUUUAGCUCCUUAAGGAAUUUUAAAGUAACUCUUAAGAUUUCACAUUAAUUAUACAAUAAAUAAAUGAUAUUAGAACAUGUGAACAUUUAUUUUUAAGAAUAUACCUCCUCCUGAAGCCAUAAGAAUUAGAGUUGUGCCCUUUCAGAAGUCCAAGUCUAUUAAGAAAACAAUCUCAGCAGAUCCUCAAAAACCAUCAAUCGUUUAUCCCCUAGCCUCAGGAACAUGAUUCCACCAUUUUAUAUUUUAUUAUGAGUUUCUGAAAUUUAAAUCUCUUUUUUAUUUGCUUUUAUUUGGUGUUUAUAUGAUAAUUGUACGUCAGGUAAGAACAUUGUUCAUCAGCAGCUGAGAUUUUCUUAUUUUCUUUGUAUAAUCUUUCGCUUUUCUUUUUUUAAAAGAUUUGGCAUGUAAUGUAAUGAUUUAUAUAAUGGAAACUUAUGAUUUUUUUUUCUUUUUGGUAUCAGAUUGCUAGAAAAUUGAGUUGGAGCAGAAGGCGUGCUGACAAAGUCACUAAAAUUUAGUCAAUGUAUGGGUGCAAAUUUCUUAGUUUUAUAAACAGUUUGUAAAUGUUCAUUUUAAGAAUUUAAAAUGUACAUGGGUUUGCAGGCAGUAAGUGUAUAUAUGUAUAUACGUGUGUGUGUCUGUAUUCAUGUCACUUGAGAAAAGCACAUAAUUAAUUGUUGCGCAAAUUUUAAUAUAGUUGUAAAUGCAUGAGUCUACUAAAGUAUAGAAUAGGAAUAACAAGGUCGUACAUAUAAGAACCGUCAAUUUUUGGGAAAAUAAAAUUUAAUCUAAGUUAAUUAUAAUUUUACCUAGAUGGAAAGAAGAUAUUUUGUUUAAGAAAAUUAGAACUAAAUAGGCAAGAAAAUUAAGAAUUCAAGAGAUUAAUGCUACCAGUAUCUACGAAUCUAACAUAGUUCAACUUAAUCAAUUAAUUUCAAAUUUUAGAACGACAACUCAAAAUCAAUAUAUGUCUAUUGAUAAAUAUAACAAUUAAGUCAAGUGAUUUAAUUUUAUUUAGCCAUGAGCCCAGUUAUAAUCAUUGGGUCUAAUAAGCGGAAUAAAAAUAACAAGUUGGAUCUUUGUGUAGAUAUCUUGGAUCUUUGUGUAAAUAUCUUUUUUUUUUUAAUUUAAAAUUAGAUAUAUCAUCAAGCUUAUUCAUCGGGGCUUUAUUACAUUUCCUUUUAUUUUCAAUAAUUAAUUUGUCAUCUAAUUGGUCAAUAAAUUUGCUUCUUGUUUGUCCAGUACACUAACAUAGAUGCUGUUCAUUAGAAGCAGAAACAGAGCUGUAACAGAGAAGAAAAUAGCUGUAAAAUUAUUUCUUAGGUUUUGAGAUAGGAAUGACGAACCAAAGUUAAAUUGGCCAUAUCAUUCAAGUGUCACCAUUAGCUUGGAUGCUUGUAAAGAUGAUUUGGACCCAUAGUUUUUGCAUAAAAACCUUUGUUAUCUUUACUUUUGUUGUCAAAAUUAUUAGUACAAGUUUCUUAAUGGUAGAAAUAGAACCUAAUCCCUCACAAUUAUAAUUUAAUAAUAUGUUAAUUACCAAACACUAUUAUUUUUCUAUUCAUACCUAGUAGUGAUUUAAAUUUGAAAAGCGACAAAACCAGCAACCAAUUUUCAAUACAUAAUAGACCAAUCUAUAUUUUUAUUUUUUAAGGAGAAAUGUAAGGAUCCAUAAAAAAAAAAAAACCAACAACAUUACAAUGACAGAAUUAGAAUCGAAAAUCACAACAACAUUAUAAUUGCAUUCAGUUUCUACGUCUCCUCCUCCUCCUUGUUGCCUUUUGCUGCGUUCCCAACUUCUCCAGAAUCCAUCCGAUAAUUCCAGUGCUGAAGUUGCACCCGAGAACCAAUCCUGCCACAAGCCCGCCCCCAUAGCCAGUCAGAAUGAUUUUCCAAUCAGAUGCGCUUGAAAACAGAGACUCCUCCGAGCCUUCAUUAUGAUCUUCAUUUGUUGGAGCUUCAUCACUCUCACAUCCUUUGGACAAAGGCCUUCCGCACAAUCCUGAGUUGCCGUCGAAAGAAGUGUUGUCAAAUGUAGCAAAUUGCUUUCCUUGUGGUAUGGGUCCUGUAAGGUAAUUGUCCGAGACAUUGAAGAAUGCCAGAAAUGUGAGCUCAACCAGUUGUUGAGGAAUCCGUCCUGAAAUCUUGUUAUCUGAGAGAUCCAAUGAUUCCAAAUUUGUUAGAUUGCCCAAACAUGACGGAAUAUGGCCUUGGAGAUUAUUGUACUGGAGGUUUAGAACUUGAAGUCCCUUUAAAUUCGCAAUCGAGGCUGGAAUCGCCCCAUCAAAUGUAUUGUUUGAGAGAAUAAUGCCCGCGAGGAU